rnacentral:lncRNA from 1 species
AAUACUUCAUGCUCAUUAUGGCCAUCCCAUAGAACAUCAUGUUGGAGUGUUGGCUGAAAAAUCUCUCAUAGGCCAUUGGGAAUAUGACACUCAUGUGACCUUACAUGACUUGAUAGAGGACAUGGGUAAAGAAGUCGUCCGACAAGAAUCUCCCAAGAAGCCUGGAGAACGCAGUAGGUUGUGGUUUCGCGAUGAUAUAGUUAACGUUUUAAGAGAUAAUACGGUAAAGAAAACUAAUAUUUAUGAACAAUUUGUUGUUUUAGCUUUAGCCAUGACCUUGAUCAUCCUGCCACCUCAUACUAGUGUUUUUUAUUCACUUAAUUACAUGUAUAUUACUCUAUAAUAUUUGUAUUAUGAUUUAUUCUUUUUUUAUUUUGUUAAAAGGGAACUGGGAAUAUUGAAAUGAUAUAUCUCAAAUAUGCCUUCACGGCAAGAGAAACAGAGUGGGAUGGAAUGGCUUGCGAGAAGAUGACAAAUCUCAAAACACUUAUCAUUAAAGAUGGUAACUUUUCAAGGGGUCCUGGGUAUCUUCCAAGUAGUUUGAGAUAUUGGAAAUGGAUAAGUAGUCCUUUGAAGUCUCUAUCUUGUAUUUCGAGCAAGGCAAGUGAAAUAGGUUCAUUUUUCAAUUGUGUAUAUUGAUAAUUCACUAUUAGAUUAUAAUUUUCAUUUCAACUUAUUUAAUUUGUUUUUUUAUGAAGGAGUUCAACUAUAUGAAAGUUAUGACAUUGGACGGUUCUCAAUAUUUAACCCAUAUACCCGAUGUCUCAGGUCUUCCAAAUCUAGAAAAGUGCUCCUUUCGAGGAUGUGAUAGUUUAAUUAAAAUUCACAGUUCGAUUGGACAUCUAAAUAAACUUGAAAUCUUAGAUACAUUUGGUUGCAGCGAACUUGAGCAUUUCCCACCCUUACAGCUGCCCUCUCUUAAGAAAUUUGAAAUCACUGAUUGUGUGAGUCUCAAGAAUUUUCCAGAAUUAUUAUGUGAGAUGACAAAUAUAAAAGAUAUUGAGAUAUAUGAUACUUCCAUAGAAGAAUUGCCAUAUUCAUUUCAAAAUUUCAGUAAACUUCAACGGUUAACAAUAUCUGGAGGCAACCUACAGGGAAAGCUCAGGUUCCCAAAAUAUAAUGAUAAAAUGAAUUCAAUAGUGAUUUCAAAUGUGGAACAUCUUAACCUCGCAGGCAACAGCCUCUCAGAUGAAUGUCUCCCAAUACUUCUCAAGUGGUUUGUUAAUGUGACAUUUCUAGAUUUAUCCUGUAACUACAAUUUCACAAUUCUUCCCGAGUGCCUUGGUGAAUGUCACUGUCUUAUGCAUCUUAAUUUGAUGUUUUGCUUGGCUCUUGUGGAAAUUAGAGGGAUUCCACCAAAUCUUGAAAUUCUUUUUGCAGUCAUUUGUUAUUCAUUGAGUUCCUCAAGUAUAAGAAUGUUAAUGAGUCAGGUUUGUUGUUUUUUUAUUGCACUAGUAUUUGACAUAUAGUAUUUCAGUUCAUAGUGUAAUUAUUAUUCUUUUUAUAUAAAUUAACAGAAACUACAUGAGUCUGGAUGCACCCAUAUUCUAUUCCCAAACACAACGGAUAGGAUUCCUGAUUGGUUUGAGCACCAAAGCAGGGGAGACACAAUUUCUUUCUGGUUUGAUAAAGAACUCCCUUCUAUUAGCUUUACUUUUAUUCUUAUUAGUCAGGGGGACUACAUGUUACCAAUAGUCAAAUUCUUUGUGAAUGGCUAUGAAAAAGAGAUAAGUUGCGACGAAUUGACUAGGGAAUUCGGUGAGCUAGUGGAUGAUGACACUGUGUUGGAGAACCAUACAACUUUGUUGCAUAUAAAAUUGGAACAAGAUAAUGAACUCGGUGAAAGACUUUUGAAAAAUGAAUGGAUCCAUGUGGAGUUUAAGUUACAGGAUUAUUAUUGGCACGCUGAGAGAAGAUUAUUCAGAAAUACGCAAAUGGGAAUCCACGUGUGGAAGGAGAAAAGCAACAUGGAGGGGGGUGUGAGAUUCAUUGAUCCUUCAUUAUCACAAUUUAUGCAAAGAUUGGUGGAAGUGGGAGUUUCAGAGAAAGGGGAGGAGGAGGAGGGUUUUAGUGACACGGAGGAGGAUGUAAUAUUGAAGAAUCCUAAUAAUAGAAAGACUUGGGGUACAUUCCUUAGUCUAGGUGCAUCAAAAAGCAACACGGAUGGGGAUGAGAUUGAAAUAUUAAGCAGUGCACAAGAUGAAAGAAAGAUGUGGGGUACAUUCCUCGGUUUAGGUCCAUCAUAAAGUUAACCGUCUUCUUGUUAUUCUCUCAAUCUCAACAUUGCAGGUUUGUGCUUUGAUGUUUAUACUUUGUAUAAAUGUUGAUUAAUUUCUGUAUGUAGUCAGUUACAAAUUCAAUGUUUCUAGUUGGAGAAGUUUCUUAAACCAUGAGACAUGAUGUAAGUUUCUGUGUGUCUAACACCGAUACAUGUAAUACUAUUAAACUAUAUUAUUAUCUCAAAGGACUACCAAUGUCAACGAAUCAGUGUCGGUGUCUAGUUCGGUAUCCAUGACUGUGCUGAUGCUUCAAAAUGUCGAAAUGAAAGUUCUGAGUUUGCAAGUGCUUAAAGGUCAACAAGUAGAUUGUCUUACCGUAACUAUACACAUUUCGUAAACUUGUAUUGAUCUCAUUAAUUAUGAUUCAAAUUAGAACUUUUAUCUCAUAUCUCAUCUAACUAAUGGCACAUGUUUUCAGUGUAACCUAUAAAUGUAUGGAUAAUUUAAGUAGUACAUGCAUUUUUAACUUUUUUGAUGAAAUUUAACGUGACUGCAAUUGAAACAUGAUACACAAUUGAUCAAAAUUCCACUAGCUUAUAAGCCCGCACGAGUUUUACAAUGAGCUAAAUGGUUUGUCGAAUAAUCAAUAUCGAUCUUAUCUGUUGCAGCAUAACUCUAUUGUGUUACCCAUCACAUCUAUUUGAAUGCUUGUUACCUUCAGAGAGGAGAAGCCAUAGCUAUCAAAUUGAAUUUUUAUUUAGCUAUUACAUAAGGAUGAUUCAGAGGCAUCAGAAUCCAUCUCUCGCGGCCUUCAGCUACAACCCUUUAGUCCAGAAAUUUUAGAAGGUGUGGUGUAAUUGAACGGAUCCAAGAUUAAUGUUGUUACAAGUAUGAUUCUUAUAUUUUUAAAGAAUAAAUGCUUUUAAUCAUAAUCUGAAAAAGAAAUUGAUUAUUAUGCCAAAGUAAUAUAUUUCUACAUUUGUCAGGAAACCAUUUGCAACUGCCUUUCUUUUUGCAUUGUCAUACGAGAUGUCUAGAGGUGGUGGUUCACACCACAAAAUUCGUUCAAAAGGGAAUCAGGUAAUCAUAUGCUUUGCAGCUCAGUUGUACUUUGGUGUUUCCACAUUGGGUAUGAAUUGAUCAUUUCACAUAAUCCUUCUACAGCUCGACAUAUUUCAUUUCGUUCUAACCAUGCCUUCCGCUGGUGAGGACUUAUGUUUAGAUUAUUUCUGUAAUGAUCAUGAAAUGUCCCUUCUCCCCAAAAAUGCGGCAAAAACAGUCGCUAUUUUGUGUUCUGACAUAGAUAUUUGGUAGAACUAAAGAUGGAACGGGAAGACUUGUUCUAUACUAAAAAAUUUAUAAUGAAAUGUGUCUACUGUUUAUUUUCUAGCUAUGUUCUAAGUUGUUGUUGAUUUAUUUAUGUAAAUGUGCAUACCAGGUCGAAACGACUAUGAAGUGCUGAGUUUCUCAAACUAAACUCUCCUUACUGGGGAAGGAGCUUUCAGGUCUGCAAGAAAUUAUGUGGGAUAAAGAAAUAAAUCCGAGAACCGACAUUCAUGAGAUCCUUUUGCAAGAGUCGUGACUUUUGUUCUCCAAAAUCCAAAUCAGCGUUCUUGGUGUAGUACUCAAUGUACAACUCUGGUUUUGAUAUGGUGAGACCUGAUGUAAUUUUUUAUGGAGGAUGUUUGUGCUGCAUAUAUUGUUUGAAUUCGAUUAUUUCAUUACUGUACAUUUAGAUGCAUGCAUUAGAUUAUAGAAUGAACACCAUUUUAGAAGUACAUGUAAAUUAUGGAGGCCAACCUUGGAUAAUGUAUAUUUGAAUGUUUUAUCUAAAUGUGUUCUGAAAAAGCCAAUAUCAGGAACUUUGAUCUUGCUAACUUUUGUUGUUCAAUGAUUGUUAUUGCACCAAUAUUUCUUAUGCUAAACUGACAGAAACUAUAUUUCUUAUGCUAACUUACAUGAGGAUAGAUGCACCAAUAUUUGUUUUCCAACAGGAACAGAGGGGAUUCCAGAUUGGUUAAAGCACCAAAUCACGGGACACAAUUUUUUUCUGGUUUCGUAAAUAAAUCCCUUCUAUAACUAGUAUUAUUAUUCCCUUUCUGGAUCCGUCCGAUUCAAAUGAGAAAGUAGUCAAUUUGUCUGUCAAAGGCUAUGAAAAAGUAGUCUGGAUUAAAUGAUGUGAUCUGAAGCUGUCACUAGCAGAGUGCAGUAACAGUAAACUAUGGCCAACACUGCAGAGUGCAGUGUGGCAUGACUAGAAGAGAGAGGAGUCAAGGAAAAGUUAUUUCUGUUAUUCACUCGGAACCAUUAGUACUUUCAAAAUUCUACAGAUCUAAAAUAUAAGCCAGACCAUAUGCAUUAUACAGAAUAGAACUCUCAUUUUAUCGGAUGAAAUUUUUCGGUAUCCACAUAUGAUGCAUGUCCUGAGCAAACCUGCAUUCUUUUUUUUUUUUAAUGCAAAAUAAUCACUAACAUAUCCACUUGUUGAUUUGUUGCAAAUAGCUUAAAGUGGUUCUGUAAUAAAGUGAUUUAUCGUCACAUAAACAAGUGACUUAGAAGUGUUUCCUUUGAAUACUCGUGCUGCUGCAUAAUGAUUCUAAUUUUACCAAGCUUAAGUGUUUUAGACCUGAGUUGCACACACACAACAAGCACAAGCAAGUCACUUUAUUUCUGUGUAACGAGUAACUAAGCAGGUCAUGAAGUUGUUACGAGGAACACAACUUAGAUUUUAGAUCUUGAAUACUUGUAAGAGGCAUGAUUCUAUUUGCUGCACAGUUGCUGAUUGUGUAGUUUUAGAUGUGGAUUUUAUCUUGAAUUUUGGUUUAAAGUGUUUAUAGAAUAUUACAAAUACAAACUUCAUAGCCACUGUAUCAAUAAUUAGUAAUCUUUUUGGUGGGAGUGAUCUGGUAAAUUUUGAUACAACAACUUUGAUAGCCUUUGUAUCAGUAAUUAGUAACGAUGUAACAGAGAAAUUUUUGGCUAUUCUCGAAAUGAGCAGAGACAGCAAUCUAAGGGAAACUUUGACUUUGUGAUCGCUUAAGUGAGUUAUCAUUUUUUUUCUUUGCCACCUGCUAUGUGUUUUUUGAACUUUUGCAUAUUCUUGUCCUUCCUAUGAAUCAACUUUAAUAACCUAAAGUUAUAUGGUGUUUUAGUUAACUAUGAAAAUUGAAUAUUUGCAUUGUAUGUAGUGUUUAUAAUCUAUUCUGGUUUUUAUCUGAGUCAAAUGAAUUGACAAAAGCUUUCCUCAAUUUUUUUCGCUAGAUCAGGCCUGAACUUCAAUAUCCAAUCCAUCUGGAAUUUGGUAGAGUCCUAUGUGGGAAGAAUGGCAUAAUUAUCUUUCAGAAUGUAAGCUGGUACUGAUGCUUGGAUCGAUGUCCCUCUCUACUACUGAACAUAGACCAAGGGCCUUAACUGGCAAUUAGUUACACACAUUCAUGGAAACAAGGGUUGAAGCAUUCGCUCGCAAGCAACUCAGGUAAUAGAAUUUAAUUUUUAAUUAAAUGGGUUUGCCAUGAUCAUUCAUCAAAAUUCAAUUGCAUAAAGAUAUAAGCAAAUAUAUUCAAUUGCAUAAUUCUUUUACACAUUAUAAAAGAAGACAAACUAUGCAGUGGGGUCACUAUCACCGUAGUUUUUGGUUGAAGUCAUAUGUUGUUUACUUGUUGGUUUUUCAAGUUCUGACAUGAUAUUAUUUUUCUUCCCAUUUCCAGCUGAACUACUUUACGUGCUUCAAUUUUUUUCAAUCACUGCUAAAUUUUAGUGGAUAAGAAACAAAUGAAUCUAAAAAAUUUACGAUCAACCAAAUUCUGUUUGGAGGUGAAUGUUUCUUCAUAAUCUAACUUUGUAAAUGAAUUUUAAGUGAUUUGAAAACAUGGAAUAAGGUCUUCAAUAAAUAAAUAUGUAUCAGGUGCUUUUGGUUCAGUUUUAGACUUUUAGAUGGUAGGGAUCGUGCUUUUGGUUUGAUUUACAAUUAUUGUUUCUUGUACUGCUAUUGUGUAGGUCAGUGUUUUGUACUUUUUUUUUUGUUCCUUAUCUAAGUUUCUAUGGUCGGUCUUUUCGACUAUAAUGGAAUAAUACAUGUUAUGCUACUGCAAUGUAGUUAUUGCUUCUAGCAUGGCAUUUACUAGGCUGAUUUGGUCUUUUCGAACUCAUCCAAGGACUGCAGGAUUUGGAGGACUUGAUCGGAAUUAUGACAAAGCUUUUCAAUUUGGAUUUUAUGGAAGUAUAGGUUGGUCAAAUAUCCUUCAUGCAGAAAUUCAGGAUCUCCUUGUUGGUCUCAAGUUGUGGUGGAAAGCCCGGAAGUUUAUAUGCUAUUAUGAUUCUCUUCACGUGGUGCAGUUAGGUUCAAUGAACACUCAUCACUUUCACCAUUAUGCCAAUAUGUUGGAGAUUUAUCAGAGCUUACAUGAAGAAAGAUUGGAAUUUUUCUCUCCAUCAGACUUUUCCCGAGGGCAAUGCUUGAGCAGAUAUUCUAGCGAAAUUGGGAGUUAGUUGUAUAGAUACCUUGGUUACGGUCUACAUGCUGCCGCAGUUCUUCUCCUCGGCUUUGUUAGUUAAAAUUGUUGGAAUGUCCUUUAUUAGGACUUAGUAACCAAAAAGAAAAGGUUGAUGGAAAAACUUAAAUGGAUUUGUUGAAACCACCACAACCCUUUAUGUUGAUACCUUGCAUUCUCAUGUUACUAUGCCUCCAUUCCCCGAGUAAUACAGUGACUUCAAUCAAAUCCCAUAUAUAUAUUUUAAUCUUAUGGUCUCCUUUUUAAUAUGAUUGUCAAAUAAGAGGUUAAUGCAGAAAGUGAAUAUAGUUAGUUUGUGGUUCUAAUUGUGUUUUACCUCUUUAUAUCAAAUUGGUGCAAUUUUUACUUUCUAUGCUUUGGUUAGAUGUUAAUUAAUAUAUUUAUUUUGCCUCUUCAAAACAAACAAAAUCUAGAAAAGAGAAUUGUAAUGAAACAUUUUACCUCUAAGCAUUAUGUCCAAAAAGUGUUACAAACUUGAAUCAAAAAAGAAAAUAUUUUACAAUCAAACUACAAUUCAUUAUGUAUCAAUUUUACAAACCAAGUAAUGAGAUGGAGGGAGAGGAGAGUCCCUGCAACCAUAGGCGACCACAUCAGUGUCAUCAUCCACUACUGUCGGUGCUUGAGUUCCACUGUGUCUCCAUCAUAUUUGUGAGAGUUAACUUAAAAUCAGAAUUCUGGAGAAUCGUGCCACGAUGGAGAAGCUUCGUGCCACGAUUGUUGAAGCAAAAUUCUGGAGCAAUCACUGGAAAAAUCGUGCCACGAUUGAAUCGCAUCGUGGCACGAUGGUGCGAUUGAAGAUAAAAAUAAAACGUAUUUUUAUUGAAGAUUUGUUUCAGUUUUUUAAGGGAUUACUUUCACUAUAAAUAUAGACCUUGUAUCACAGUAUUUCUUGGAGAGAGAUAGAGGGGGCUGAAACAAGGGUUUAGAAUGGCAACAACAAAACUAGAGUUUGUAUAGAGUUUGUCUCUUUGGAAACACUAGGGUUUGAGGGUUGAUUCACCUUGGGAAACACUAUUAGGAUUGAGUCUCUUGGUUACGGGAAGAGGCUGGGACUUUGGGUAGAAUUAGGCGGGAGACUUAUUCUUGUAACCCAUUGACUUCUCUUUGUAACGUUACUCGUUAUAUAGUGGAUCGGAGGGCUGCUCUCUCCCCAGACUAGGUCAAUUUGGACCGAACUGGGUCAACAAAUUAUUUUGUGUUCUCUAUUCUUUUGUUCUUCUUGCUGUUGUUUUCUACUUUUGGCAUGUGAUUAUAACUGUUCCAUACGCUUUGAUUUUGGUUGCUUGACUAUCCCUUGCUCCACACAUCAAGUUGUUAUUGGUGUGAUUUUUCUCAUCGAAUUCACAACAAUAUUGUGUCGUUCAGUCAUCGCCGAUGUAAGAGAAACCAGGUGGUCGUUUUGUCGCCGGUAGUCCGCUGCUGCUAUUUUUCCCUCUCCUGAUUUCUCCCUUCCCCUCUCAUGUCUCACAUAUAAUCUUCCUCCAUCUCUUUUUCUGUCUGAUUGUUCGCAUAACAAUGCAACAAAACAUGAGAGUUGGCAAGAGUAUAAUCCAUGCAGCCAGAAUGAGAACAAUGCUGCUAUAACAUGUUAAAGUUACCAAACAUGUCAUAAGAAUUGGAACCAAUAAAUGUCAUGCUUAAUAUCAUUGAUAGCAGUGUGUUUUACAUCAACAAAAAAAAAAAAAAUGAACUCUCACAUAGAAGGCUGUGUGAUAUUGUGAAGUCCACUUGUAUGUAACUUGUCAUUGCUCAAUGAACAGAGCUUUGAGCGAUAAUUGUGUAGUACACAUUGUCACAAGCAUUACUUGGAACAAUUAGGAUCAUAUAUGUUGGAUCUAUAAUACAGAAAAAAGAAGGCAACUUUCUGAGAGUGUGUGUGCACGUGCGCACUUGUCGUGGAAGAUCAAAUUGAUAAUUAUAAGCGGCAGAAAUAUCUUCAUAAACAUUUAUCAGAUAAGAGAAAAUUGGGAAGGAACAAACACAUCAUAUUCGGUAAUGGCUACUUUUGAGCACUUGUACGAAAUUCAAAAUAACUAUCCGACAUUCAUAAGUGAUGUUACAUUGAACUUAAGCUACUUAUGAAAUGGCAUUCUCAAGACCUAAGGGAUGGCAAUGCAUCUUUGAACUUUUUCAGAAGGAGAAAACAAUUGGAAACAUUUUAAAAUCAAGCAAAACAGAAAACCAACAUUCUGUCACAAUCCUAGACAAUUUUAUCAUAAAAGACAAGUAGUGCUAGUGAUGCAGGCGAUAGUAUUUCAUCCGGUAAUCAUAGGAUAAAUGAGCAUUUCUGUAACACUCAGACGGAACAAAGAAAUCAAGAAGAUGAUGCAGUCGAAGAUCAUACUGAAGAGCACAAAGCAUAUACAACAAAUAGAACAAAAAAACACAGUCAAUAAAGAUUUGGUAUCAGCUGAUUAACUGUAUCGCUAUGAAAAACAAAUUGUAUGAACACUGUAAGGACUUAGUUAAGAAUCCAAAUUCAUUCAAAAGAAAUUGAAGCUUCUAUAGGUUCAUCCUCAACUUUGCCAACUUAAAAUGAAAUUUAUGUGAGAGAUAUAUGAAUACAAAAGAUAUUCGAAGAGAAUGUUCUUAAAUCACCAUAACUUAUAACUUGAUAAAUAAAAAAGAGAGAUGUGACAUAUUGUUAUUUUGUGUUUUGCUAACCAUGUUUGUUUGUGAUUUUAUUUUAGUGUUUUAUUAUGCAGGGUGUCAUGCAGGAAGCGCGGUGGCAUCCAAUUCACAUCUAACUUAGUGCUGAUCAACAACGUUGCAGUGCAGUGGAUAUUGUAAAGACUUAUGUGAAGGGAUCAACAACCGGGUGGAAGCCAAUGAGCAGAAACUGUCUUGGCCGGUGAGUCAAUGUCAGUCUUUCAAAGUUACUAAUAGUGAAUGUCACAAAUCUAUGUUGGUUAAACAACUUCAGAACGAAAAAAUGUUGAGAAUUGUUGCAAUACCAAGAACACUAUCUGGAACACUAAAUCAGACAAAACCAUGUUCAUAAUUUACAGUUUACCCUCUUACAUAAGUUACUAAAACACUAUCUGGUGUUUCUACCAAAACUAAUUUACAGAUUAUAAAGUUUUCCAUAUAUAAAUUAUUUCUACUUAAAGCUAGAGGUCAUUCGGUAAAGGCAAAAGGUCAUUCAUUUUAUUGAUAUAGAAACCAGAUAUGUUUGCGAAUAAAACGAGUAAGAUUCAAACUAAAAAUGCAAAAGCAAGAUCAAGUAGUUUCUUAGUAUACUUGACAAUCAUAUACUUCUUUGUGAAAAGUAAGAAAAAUUUGCCUUACUUCAAUAUUUGUACGGUAGUUUAUUUUAUCUCUUAUCUCAAUAUUUGUGUGUAAGCUGCAUUUUCCAAAGGCUUUCUUAGUUAUGUUAUUUGAUGAAAAAAAUUAUAGGGACUAAAACUUGAAAUUUAAAAUUUUUAUAGGAAUAAAAAAAAUACAUUUAACAUUUUUUUUAAACAUAAGUUCUGGUAAUAUUUGCACAUUGACUACUUGAGUUCUCAAGAUGCCGCUGGUUGAAUAGAAGACUGCAGCUGGUUGCUGCAACUGGGUGUAACACUCCUAUUUCUAUUUAAGCAAUUAAACAUGCGAAUAAUACAUUUAUUUAAGAAAUAGAGAUUACGUCUUAUUCAAAAUUCAAAAACCGAUAGACAUAUAUAUGAACUUCAACAGUCGUAGCGGAAUAUAAAUCAGAGUGAUCAAAUAUAUACAUGCCAUGAGCAAAUAAAUCAUGUUUCAAGGAUAAAUCUCAAAACCCAAACAUACGGUAGUCAUCAACAAAAUCAUAAUCCAACAGAAAAUAUAAACAACCUAAUCUAGACCGACACGACAAGCCUAGAUCAGAGCCGACACGACCCGAUAUCGGAGAAAGCUCCCGAUAUCCCACGCAAAGACUCACCGAGCACUACUCCUGCACAACGUCUACUCACCCAUACAGGCAAGUAGGCUGUUAAAACCACUGAGGGUAAGCAUUACAUUAUCAUAAUCCAGAUAAAUAUCAAUCAAAUAAUAUCAUGUACUUGAAUAAUAUUAGUCAUGCAUAAAUACUUACAUCACAACUCGAUAUCUAAUAUCAACAUACAUCAAUCACAUAAAUAAUUACCCAACCAUAAAUAUUCAUUCACAACACCAAUCAUUAUCAACAUACAUCAAUCACAUGAAUAAUUACCCAACCAUAAAUAUUCAUUCACAACACCAAUCAUUGAACAAUCAUUAUCAACAUUCAUUCAUUUCGUUUCAUCACCAAUCACAUAUUUCACAUAGGACUCAUGUUAUGAUAUGCACUUAUGGACGCAUAAAUGCAUGUGGUACCAAAUCUCAACAAGGUCGUCACCUUUCGAUGCCACUUGCACAUCGAAUGUAAGGGCUCACACCUGCCUUACAAUAAUCUCGAAGUAAAAGAGUCAUCCCUUUUACAGCAACAACGACUAUGAUGCAUGGACAUGUGUAAUGACUCGAUAAUGCAACAACAAUUCUCAAUCUCAACUCAAUAUAUAGGACAACACCCAAUUAUAUUGAUUAUCUCCACAACAUUGCAUUACCAAGAAAGCAUGCCCACACACAAUUAAAUCAUAGUAUUCAUCAUCACACAUCAACAUAUUUAUCAAUAAUCAACAAUGUCAUCCAACAUCAAUUACAUGAUUUUCAAUAAUCAACAAACAUCACUUAUCACGUAUGAUUUUACAAUUCAAGAAUUCUCAUAUUCCAAGUAAGAUAGCAUACACUUCUCAUGAUAAUUAUCAUAUCCAAAAUACAAUCAUUCAUUCAUACAACUUCACUUAGUCAUACAAGAAUGGUCACAACAAUUCAUAAGACAAUACAACUUCAAGAUUCACUAGACCCCCUUUUCACAAGGUUAAUUCUUCCAUAAAAACAGCCCUAGAUGAUUAGGAUAAAGUCCCUAUACAUAGAAAUAAGUUUGGAAACAAUUGGAUCAAAGAAAAUUGCAUUUUUAAAGUUUCUGGUCAGGCAAAAUCGUAGUCCAAUUUUUCUCCAUCGUAGUACGAUUUUUUUCGAACUGAAACACCCAAAAAUCUGGUCAAAAUCGUAGCCCGAUGAAUAAAAUCGUAGUCCGAUUUCUGCCUGACAGACAAUAUCAGAUUUUCCAAUUUUCACGUUUUCGCAUGUAAAAACCAAACUGUUAAUCCGUUUUCGGUGCUGUUUUCCUCUACUUGUUCAUGACACUUAGCCCUAUCUUAAUAUGCAGAAAAUUUCAAGUUUCAACAUUCCCAAAUUCAUUUUCCAAAACCCUACACAACACUCAUUUUCCAAAACGGUUAACAAUUGAAUUUUCACCCGAAACUCCCGUUUUCUUCCAAAACGACUCGACUAUCAUAACUACAACCUAAAAACAGAAAUUCCAUCAAGUUUAACUCAUCCAACCACAUAGACAACUCAGUUAACAACUUUGUAUAUCAAAUUUCACUUUGUUCCUUCACUUGAACAUCUAGCACAACUUCACCAAUACAAACAACUUAUUUCAUAAAAUGGAAUACUCAUGAUAUCAUUCAAUAACAACAACAUAUCUACUUCAACAACACUUCAUUUAGACAUGAAUUCAACCAUAAUUCAACAACACAAUAUCUCAAUCCAACAAUUGAGCAAAACACAUAAGUAUUCAUUUUCACCCAACCAACAACAACAACUUAUUUCACAACAACAAUUAUGAAUCAUGCAUACCCAAACCAUGAAUUAGCAUCCAUAACAUCACUUAACAACAACAACAUCUAUUGAUCAUGAAACUUAUCACAAUUCAUCAACAACCAUGCAUAAUUCACCAAUUGAGCAUAAUUUACAAACUACCCAUUUUCAUACAUUAUGAACUUGCAAUUUCAUCAUCAACAAUUCAUUUAACAUCAAAUUAACAUAUUCAAACAUAUCUCUACAACAUAAGCACGAAUUUCAAAGAUUGGGUUCAUGAUAAUCACUUAUUCUCAUAAUCAAUUAUGCAUAGAAUCAAGAGAAAAAGAAUUAAUCAAAUGAUUAUGAUAAAGACUAACCCCCUUACCUUAGGUAAUGCUCAAUCUAAACUUAGGCUUCACUUUAGCUCCUAACCUCACUCCAAUCUUGAUUCUUCAAGCUCUCCCUCUUCUUCUCUUCUCCCACUUUCUCUCUCUACCUCUCUUUAGGAAAUAUCUUGUGAAAUGAAUGAAAUGAUAUUCUCCUAAGAUAACUCAUUAGGUUUAACUCUUAAUGGGCCUAACCUAGUUUCUAGUGGGCUUAACCCAUUUCUAUUCAAACCAAAAAUAUUUCUACACUUCAAACGAUAUUAACUCAUAACGGUAAAAACUAAUCACUACACUGAUAACUUAGUAAAAUAAGGGUUCUCACUAACUAUUAAAAUAAUUCUCACCAAAUUACCAUGUUACCCUUACCCGCCAAAUGACCAAAAUACCCUUCUAAUACGGUAAUCCAUGUAAUAAUUAAAAUAAAUCUAGCUAAAAAUCGGGCUGUUACAUUGGGGCCAUGGAUGUUCUUAUACCAGACCUUCAUUUGAUAUAUUCAAGGUCACAUUUCUCUUUGCAUCCACACUACCGUUUCUAUUUGAAAACUUGGAUAAUGAUAUAUGUCCCGGAAAAAUUACUCGCGAAAGCAUCACGACUCCCAACAGCUGAAGUUCAUUUGCGAUGGUGUCAGAAAUGUUUGCUUCAUGAUGAAUAGCACUGCCCUUUGAACUUUUAGGCAGCAUCUGACUUUGGUAAUGGUAUUAUUUUUCCAUAAAUCUCAAAGAAGCUAGAAAAGAGGCUUUAAAAUAGUCCCACGUCGACCCAACAAGUAGCAAGCUAUUGUUAAUGAAUGAUAUGGGUGUUAUAAAGAACACCUCAUUGCUCAAGUUAAAUGAUACCAGACAUGGUCUACCAGGGCUAUGAUUUUUACACAACCAAUGAUACACUCCAUCCAUAUAGACAUGGGUGUUACGAAGAAUGCGACAUUAAAUGUUGAAGAUGCAACAUGUGCCGUGCUGUGCUCACGGUGACAUUUGGUCAUACACGCUUUUCAAUUUCUAAAAGUUAUUCAAUGUCAAACAAAUUUACACAUGCAUAUAUAAGCUUAGUUCCUCGUAAACCUCUUCCGUAGAACUUUGAAAGUUAGAUUAAUCUAACAUAUAAGAAGAUCACAUCUUGAUCAUUAGGUCAAUCAAACAGACAAAAUUUGGUAAUACAUUAUUCAAGUAGACCACUGAACAAGUCAUUGAUAAUACAUUCAAACUAAAAACUGCAUAAUUAAGCAUAAUUAAAUUAAGGCCAAGUUUUCUAUUAUCAUGUCUUAUGAACAUGAGUGCUGGAAAAAAUCACAGCUCUAUAAUAAAUACUGCUUAUAAUGCAUGAGAAAUGAUAACAAUUAGCAUGCAAUCGCAGAGAAGAUGCGACGACUUAUUUCAUCAACGGAAAUUUCUUCUGAAGAAUGGCCAUCUGCUACUUGUCCAAUAAGUUUUUAUCUUUUUCAAGUCUUCAUUCUCACUCUUAUAUCAGGUAUCAUUACAGAAUUCCAUUCCAUCUCUCUGUCAUUCUGUUCAUAAAAAUUCAAGCAAACAUAUGAGAGUUAGCAAUAGUACCAUUCAUGCAGUCAGAAUGUGAUCAACAAUACUAGUAUAACAUGUUUAAGCAAGUGCAUUUCCAGAUAGCGCUCGGCCAUAACAAAAAAUAUCAUGAAUUUCAAUCUUCUAAAGUGAGAAAAUCAAGGGUUGUAAUUUUAAUACACCCGUGAUUUGUUAUGAUGUAUCUACAACAGUGGCGGAGCCAUGUGUGUACUGGGUAUGGCCAUGACCUACCCACUUAUUAUUGAAAAUACCAUAAUACCCCUGGUUAAUUUUAAUAUCACUGCCAUAUGCUAACAUCUAGCUAAGAUCCUACUUUGUGAAAUCGCAGGUACUAUUUUUACAAUUCAUAUCUUAACAUAAUUAAGGAAAAUGUCAGUGUCCAGUUAUUUAUUUAUUUUUUGGUUCUGCGUCUGUUGAAUUGGGUUUCACAGAUAACACUACUGCUGCUGUAGCUAGUGCUGCAGUUAGUGUUACUUCUGGUGUUCUGCUAGAUAUGAACAAUUAGUGUAGAGCCCAAUUGAUGUUAUGAGUCAAAGACUAAUGUCAAGGCAGUUGUAAUGGUAGUGGUGGAAAGAGUAUUUUGGAUUUUUGGUUAAUCUUUAUUUUCUGAGAAUUAUAGAAAUGGUUUUGAUGUGUUAUAGAAAAUUCUUUAUGCUUAUGGGCAAGAGAAUUCUCUAUUUCAAUAUUGACUUAUGAAGCAUAUAAUGUUGUUUGUUUGACUUCUUACUCUAUGGUUCAUAGGUUCAUAUGGGGUAGUUUUGGUUCAUGUUUGACUUCUUACAUCAUUUUGAUAAUUUUAUUUCUUUGCAAUAGAAAAAUCAAGAUGGAGAAUAAAAAAUUUCAUUCAUUUUACACGAGGAAGGCCAAUGAUAUUGAAAGAUAAGAAGACCUUAUAAUUUCUUAAUCUCAACCUGAACAAGUUUGUGAGAAUCCAAGAAUUGAAGAAAAUGAGCCUUGUCAGUUUAUAUUGAAAGGGAAAGUUAGUGUAUCUAUUAGUUCCGAGUCAGUUAUUGAUGAUUUCAAGUCACUCGGAAAACGUAAAGUGUCACUUUAAAUAUUUAAUUACUGAUUUUAUGUAUUAUGUAGUUUAAAUUUUGAAUUAUCGAUUUUUGAUUUAUUACAACAUAAAUAUGUUGUAUGUAAAUAUGAUUUAUAUAUUUUAGUUUAUUUUGAUGGUGGCCAUCCCUAAUAUUUUUGUCCGGCUCCGCCAAUGAUCUACAAUGUAUCUCUUUAAUAUGUUAAUUACUGAAAGUAAAUGUACCUUAUAAAAUAGAAGAAUAAAAACCAAUGAGUAAUACAACUACUGCAAUGAAAUGUAUCUCAGAGUAUAUGGUAUGUUAACUCCCUACAUAUCUAAGUAUAUGCAAUGAUACACACAGUAUAUUUCACCACCUAUAGUAUAUUUCGACAUUAAGCAUAGAUAAAAUUUAACAAAAAAAAAAAACAUUAAGUAUAGAUACACUAUAUUCCAGUACCACCCCUUCAAUGUUACACUAUCAUAGAUCCUCUGUUACUCAAUUGUAACUAAUAUACAAUUAAGUUCAAUUAUACAUUUCUUCUGUUACUUAGCAGAAACCCUUGCCUCUCCAUUCACCCCUUUAUUGAGUUUUAAUUCAAGUGAUAGACUUAGGAAUGAUUGGUUAGUUACUAAGUUUAAACAAACUCAGGAAGUUCCAGUGCAAGUAACUACACUAGAGUUAAUUAGUUCAGAAAGCAUAUGGCUUUAUUAUGAACCAAAGACAUCAACACGGACACUUAACAUGACACAGACAUGUUGGCACCACUAGUAUAAAGACAUUCUAGCUUCUAGGUAAACGGGUGACUCUGGAGUUAUGCAACACUUCACACUCGAGCUUGUUCUUAUCAUGUUCAUCAAUGUCAGCUUCCUAAAUACCAUAAAAAGCAAAUCCAUUGUUACCUAUGAACCACAGACAUCAACACAGACACCUACACAAACAUGUUGACACCACUAGGUUAAAGAUAUAGGACACUGACACCACUAGUUUAAAGAUAUAGGAGACUGACACCGCUAUAUGCAUUUAUUUAUUUAUUUAUAAAAUAUCAUAAUUGAGAACUAAAAUAUAUACAACAAGAAAGCUGAAAAUGUUAUAUCAAACUUAAUGUCUUUUCUUGUGUUUUAACUUGAGCUCUGAUUAGAUGAAUUUUGCAUGGCACUUCUGGUAGUUAUUGAACAUGCUGUUCUCUUGUAUGAUAGCGAAACGUAAAGAAUUUUGCUGAUUAAACCUGCUUUUGAGUAAUCCAGUUACUCUGUAUAUUCUUUAGUACAGUGAAUAUUUUUUCAUGGGAUUAUUAUGUUACUUGUAGGCGGGGUAAUACUGAUAGUUAAUACGUAUUUUCAUCAUAAUUAGAUUUAGAUUGCUACUUUCUAGACCAACUAACCUGACAGCGAAACUGUUAACUAGUUAAAUAAAGAAAGCUAAGAUCUCACAUCGUUGAAUUUAACGUGUUACAACUUACAAUAGUUCUUGGAACAGGAAUUUUAGAAUUUUUUAAACUUGGCCAUUCUAAGACGAUGGUGAUGACAAUGAUAAUCACAAACAUGCCUUAUCAGCGAUAUAUAUUUAAAAUCGUGGCCCGGAACUAUCCAUAAUUUGGAGAAUAAUUCUAAGAAAUAAAGACAAAGCUUUGAGUUUCCGGUGUAUUAGCAUAUUUUAGCAUAAAACUACUUAGACGGUGUACACAAUUUUAUUAGCAUAUUUAAAGAUAACCUAAAUAAUUUGGUCCUCUAUCUCUACUUGAAGAAUCAGCAACAAAUUUGUUAACCAAAAAAUAUUAUGCAUUAAUAUAAGCAAUGUUCAGAAUCAAAUCUAAUGUUUCAGCUUAUAUCUAGUAAAUACAGCCUCACCACCAUUUUCUCCACCGAUAUCUUUGUCUACCGCAUGUAGUCAUAUGCAAUAGACAAUCCUUUCCAUUAAUUGGUAACCUUUCCAUUAAUUUGUAAUCGGAUAGUCUGAAUCACACAUUCAAAAAAUCACCUUUAAAUAAUCUCAAAUAUCGAUAAAGAUUUGACUGUCAAUAACAGUUUUACCGUGACACACAAACCUUAUGUUUUAUUAUCAUUAUUAUAUUAUAAAAUAUAAUAGCAAGUGAUGUGAUGUGAUGAUUACACAAGUUUAGCGACUUGGGUUCAUUUAAUUUGGACCAGUUAUACUUUAGGUUGAACUUGGACCACUCAAAUGACCUACAAAUGUAGGUUUGAAACCGGUCAAAAGUUAUGAAGCACACAACAAGUGAAUCGUACCAACCUCGAAGCUAUUAUUAUUGAGAAAUGAUAUUUGUACAACCAUUUUGUGGCAAUUUUUGUACAACUUUAUCUCUCAUACUCACAUUAUAAUUUUAUUCUCUCUCUUCAUUUUUCUCUCUCCUUUAUUUUUGACCAAUAGAAAGAGAGAAAAAUGAAGUUGUCAUGGUAGUUGUCAAAAAUGGUUGUUCAAAUAACACAACUCAUUUUUUUUUUUUUGGUACAUCACUACUCAUUAUUAUUAUUAAAUUUAAAAAUAAAUAGAACGGUCUCAUAACUAUUAAAAUUUAUAAAUCAAAGAGUUAAAAUUAAAAAUUUAAAUCUUUAAAAAAAAAAAAUUAAUAAAGUCUAUGGUACAUCAUCCACAGUAUUGAUCCAGUUUAAACGUUUAGUGUUAAAAAUUUAAAGGAGAUGACCAAUGACCGGGUAUAUAUAAGGGAGUAAUUUACAAAUUUUAAUAACUAUGAGAUUAUUUCAAAACAAAAAUUAAGCAGCAACAAGUAUUUCAAUUCUUCUGAUGUGAAUCAUAUUAUCUCAGUUCUUCUCCUCUUCUCACUGACGACUCACUCGCCUCACCCUAACGUCUGUAUUAUCUCGUCUCUCUCACCUCUUGUUGUUAGAUAAGCUAAGGUAAGCCAAUCGAUUCUCCAAUUUCUCAUUUCUUCUCUAUUUGAAUUGGAUUCAAGUUUUUUGUUUUAAUGUGCUCCAAGUGUUCGACAAAAUGCCUGAAUGAUUAAAUUUCUGUUACUUUAAUGGUGAGAAAAGACUUUGUAUGUACGUUUGUUUGUAUUUAAUUAUUUAUGGUUCUAAGUUUGUUUCAUUUUGGAGCAUAAUUUGAAUGAAAAGAGAUGAUAUGAAUCAUUACCAAUUACUUUGUUUUUAAUUGUAAAUGUUUCUAUUUGUAUAAAUUUUGUGCAUAUCACUUGCUUGAUAAUUUGCAUGAAAAAGGAUGCGAUGAAUCAUUAACAAUUACUUUGGUUUUAACUGUUAAUGGUUCUAUUUCUGAGUUUUGUUUACGUGCUAGGGUUGUAUACGUGUUUGAUGUGAUUUAAUUAGGUAGAAGAUGGAAGUUUUGUAUGGAACUUGAAAUUUUCUUGAGGAAGUUUUAUAUGCAAAUCUUGAUAUUGUAAGUGAUGUGAUGUAAGUUUAUGAUAAGUGAUGAUAAUGUUGUAUUAUCUGACUAGUAGCUGAUAGGAGUCUAGUGAGAGAACUUCUGUUAAUGGGGAUUAAUCCUAGAGCUAAGUAAUUGUAAAUAUAACAUUGAGGAGGUAAAAAUUUCUGCAUGUUUUUGUUGCUAAAAAGAAUGCUACUGUUGUAAAUACCUUAGGCCAAAACUCUGUCUUCCAACUUCGUCUUCUUCUUUCCGCAACGAAACGUUACGAUGAACAUGCUGGAUUGUUCUCGAAUCUAAAAGGUGCGAAAAAAUUAUCCUCCCUAAUCCUCAUGUUAUUUAAAUUAUCCUUACCCAAACAACAAGUUUUGUCUAUAAUGUUAGAAUUAAUUUGAUUUUAAUGAGUUUUAAUGGGUGGAACGGUGGAUUUUGUGUCUAUAUUUUAAAGCUGAAAAAGUUAAUUUAAGCAUAAAGUAAUAGAGAGUAUUGAUUUUUGUAUUUAGUCCUUUACUUGUGUGAUAAUAUGUGCAGGAACCAAGCCAUGGCCUCCAAGCUGCUUUUGCAGAGAAGGCUCUUCAGGUUCUUGCGACAGUCACAACAAUCCUCAUACUCCUUUUCUUCUUCAUCUUCCAUUCAACGAUCCUCGUUCCAUUCUGCGAAACAAACAGAAAUAUCGGGUUUCUCAACUUUCUCUAGAAGCUUCUGCUCUCGAAAGUCCAGUCUUGUUGAUGAAUCUAAUGCCCCCGCACCUAUUGAUUACACGUAUGACACAUCCUUUUGUGUUUUUCGUCCCUUUGUCUCAUUUGAUCCGUGAAAACUCUGUAAAUUUGAUUUUUUAGAUACUUUUUUUUUAAAAGCAAAAAAAUAAAAAAAAAUUGUCCCUCUGAAUUUGAGUUUUUUUUUUUUUUUUUUUUUUUUUGAAUAAGGAAAGUGUUAAAAUAAUAUUAUUGAAAAUCCAAAUGUCAGUGGCAAUUGCUAAUGCCUCGCGGGCCAUUAAUGCGUAGUGUUGAUUGAAAUAGAUGUUGUGUUUUGUUUAUUCCUUUCAAAUGGCUGGUAUGCUUUUGCUAUUUGCUAAUGAUUAAUAUGGAUGCAGUUCUCUACUGCAGGAGGGUGAAUUCCAUAGACUGGCCGAGUCCACAAUACAUAGCCUUCAAGAGAAAUUUGAGGUAUCUAUUCUCUAGCACUCCUGGAAACAGCCUCUUGUGUAAAACAGGGUAAGGCUGCGUACAAUACACCAAAUGAAGGGACCCCUUCCCGGACCCUGCAUAUGCGGGAGCUCUAGUGCACCGGGUUGCCCUUUUUAUUCUCUAGCACUGUUUUGAGUUUUACACGAACUUAAAUUUAUUAUAUGAUACGACAAUCUCGGUAUCCACUUCAAAUUAUGUAUUUGAUCUAACAAUUGCCAACAUUAUUUGAUAAAUAUAGAAUUUUGAUACAAUUAUGCUUAAAUUCAAAUGUGUUUCGAUAAAAUUAGUAUUGGUUGUGAUGGAAACUUGACAGUGACAAUGUUACACUUCAUAUUAUUUAAGAGUUUAAACUACAUUGGUUAUUAUUUUGGUUUAUUGUUACUUGGCAGGACUAUGGAGACUUUAUCGACCUUGAUGGAUUUGACAUAGACUAUGCGGUGAGAAACUUAUUUGGAGAGUAUGUUAUAGUUUUAUAGAAGAUAGGUAGCAAGCAGCUAAAAUUAUUUCUUAUAUAAUAUCCUACAACUUAUGUAUUUUAGAAGACAACACGGAAGCUAUCUUGUUGUAUGUGAUUAUUUCAAAAAUAAUCACAUCGAUAACUUGAUAACCUUUUUUAUCGAUGAAACUCAGUUAAGUAGUUUGAUCUUUUGAAAAUUAAAUGCUUUCUUUUCCCUGUUAAGACUUUAAAUAAUUUAUUCCUAUUAGUUUUAAGAAGCAUCAUCCCUGUGUCUGUGUGGGAGAUAUACUAAUUGUUAACAUGGCUUUCCUUUUCAGAAUGAUGUUUUGACUGUCAAACUUGGGGAGUUGGGCACCUAUGUAUUGAACAAACAAACACCAAACAGACAACUUUGGCUUUCUUCACCAGUGAGGUAUUUUAUUGUAUAUAUGGUUUUUUUUUUUGGUUUUUUUUUUUAAGAUGUAUAUUUUUUAUAUCAGGUUUUACUCUCUACUAGCCAUCAGUAUUCAUGUAGUAAGUAUAUGGCAUGUGAGUACUUCAUAGAAAACUACAAUAUCCAUGCUUACUUAAUAUUUCCUAGGAUAUCAUUACUAAAUAUGAACUGGAGAUAACAAAUCCAAUUAGUAUUGUAAACAAUCUUCUUUAAUCAAACAGGCUAUUUAUAUGUUAAUAGUUGUGUAUUUAUUAAGGCAACCCUAUUGGGAAAAACCCAAGUCCCACAUCGGAUAGAUAAGACUCAUGAUAAUAGUUUAUAAAGAGGAGACACUCCUCACCUUAUGAACCGCUUUUGUAAGGAUGAGUUAGGCCCCAAAUUUCAACAUGGUAUCAGAGCUUGUCGAGUUCAAAGGGCACCUACCUAUCCACGCACCAAGUCUAAAAAGAGUGAUGGGCGUGAGGGGGUGUAUUGGGAAAAACCCAAGUCCCACAUCGUCUUGAUAAGACUCAUGAUAAUAGUUUAUAAAGAGGAGACACUCCUCACCUUAUGAACCGCUUUUGUAAGAAUGAGUUAGGCCCCAAAUUUCAACAUGGUAUCAGAACUUGUCGAAUUCAAAGGGCACCUACCUAUCCACGCACCAAGUCUAAAAAGAGUGAUGGGUGUGAGGGGGUGUAUUGGGAAAAACCCAAGUCCUACAUCGGAUUGAUAAGACUCAUGAUAAUAGUUUAUAAAGAGGAGACACUCCUCACCUUAUGAACCGGUUUUGUAAGAAUGAGUUAGGCCCCAAAUUUCAACAAACCCUGUGUAAUUGAAGUUUUACAUAUGUUGGUGUUUCUUGUCCUUCGCAUGUUGGUCUUUCUUAUCUUAUUGGUGGAGAAGAAAGAAGCAAGGAUUUGAAAACUUGUAGAAACUUUCCCUUUGGUUUAAUUGCUUUAUUUGAAGUGUUAUCUUAUAGUUUCUUUGUGAGGAAAUUGAGGAUAUAUACAAUAUUUUAUCAGGGUUCAUUUUUAAUGUUUUUCUUCAGGAGGAAAGUACUGUUAUGUAAAUUGAAUCUGAGCUCACGGAAGAAAUGAGUAUAGUAGUAAUUUUUAAUAUUUUCAAUUCUAUUAAAAUAUAGGUUUAGUUCUUUGCAUUGAGAGAUGUUACUAUCUUGUUAUGUAGCAAGAGCAUAUGCAGACCUUGUUAUAUAGCAAGAACAUAUGCAGACCGAUCUUGUCUGUUUGUACCAUAAGAAAUGGUAUCUUACUCUUGUUGUAUCUCCGUUCAAUGCUAUUUUGAUUAUCAAUAAAGAAGUAGGACGCAUUCAGCCUUAACUCUUUAAGUGACAUUAAUUAUGAUCGAUUGUAGCCACCGGAAUUUUCUUAUCAUUUUGGAGGAUUCUAAGACUCUCAUGUCGGAGAGUCUCACCUAAUAAGUGAAACUUAUAAGGAGUUUUCCCAUCUAAUAGUCUAGUCUUUUAGAUGAGCUCUCCCUUUGCGAAAACUUGAACUCGAUAUGAGCAAUGUGUUUUUGUGAUCCUUCUGUGGGGGUCAAGUUUUAAAACCCAUAUUAGAAAAAGCACACAGAUUGUGCAAAAACUAAACCUUGUCACUUAAGUUUGUCCCUGUAAUCCUAACUCCUAAGCCUCUUGCAACUGCUGUUCAACAGCCCUAAUUUUUGUUUGUGGGUUCUUUAUUUGAUAUGAUCCCUCCGUUUUCCGUUAUCCAUAUGCAAGGGCUUCCUUUCCAGUUCUACAGAGAGGUUGCUACGUGUUCUUCUCCCCUGCUAUACAGCCACUCAUCUUCCUUUUUCCAUGCGCUGCUGCGACUGCUCUUCAUUUCUGACACGGUCCAUUUUUCCUCUGUUUGUGUUGUGUGUUUGUGCUUUGUUCUGUUUCUUCCGUGUUCGGUGUUUUUGUAUUUGCUAUCUGGAGCUAUUACUUGUAUAUGCAUGAGUUUGUGAAAUUUGUGGGAUAAUACAGGAUCUUAAGUUUGUCUACCUUAUUCCUACUAAUGGGUUAGCCUGUUGUGGUGGCUCUCCUUUUGACCUUAUUCACAUAAUAAAGGCCUUUGUAUGGUUUUGAGGCUUUAAGUGCAGUUCGAUUUAUUUUAAGUAGAAUACAGUUUGAUCCUCUUGACGUGCAUUUUUUUUAGGAAAAUAGUUUUCUAUUUUAUCAUGCUUGUCUUUUUAAUCUGCUUUGCCUAAACUAGACGGCCAUUGACAUAAAACAUAGGACAGAAUAGGUAUAAUAAUAAAAAUGAGACUUGCAUAUUGACAGUAUCUAUUUCUCUACGAGUUCUACAUUCUCUUCCACCUGUCUAAAAGUCUCCCAUUUCUAUUGCAGUGGUCCGUCUAGGUUUGAUUGGGAUCAGGUUACUAAAGCUUGGAUAUAUAGGCGGAACAAAGCAAAUUUAUACAAAAUCUUAGAAGAUGAGUUGGAGCAGUUGUGUGGCAAACCUAUUGUUCUUUCCUAAGCUGUUGAGAAUGUGGUACUUAAUCUUGAUUUAAAAUUUAAAAAUGGGAAAUCAUUGGACAUUGUUGAUGAUCCUUUGGCAUUCAGGUGUACUCAGUAAGCAGAUUUUGUUCCUUUGCCACCUUUUACUCUGUAAACUAUACCAGUUCUUUCACAAUCAUGACGUGAUUGUAUCUUCUGAAUAAUCAGCUCUAUAUAGAACUCAUGUGGUUGACAUUAGUUUACUCUUCUGAAGAAUUACAAUUGUAAUGGGCAUUAUUGUUGGUUACUACUGGUGAGCUAGAGCAACUCAAAUGGUGAUCUUUAUCAAAGGUUGUUUUGCGGGUCCUCUAACCACAUCAUCUUGAAGCAACUAUUUUUUUUCAUUUGUUCCAAUGAUAAAACACUAAAGAACUGAUAUUAGAACAACAACUUUAUCACCCAAUCUUGUUUUAUUCAUAUGUAACAUUAUUUUAUAUUGAACCCUGUUUUUAUUGCAACAAACCGAAAGAAAAUAAUUUUAUUUUAGUCCCUUUUGUUUCAAAGUUUUGUUGCGUCAAUAAGCAACGGUGAUGACAGGACAGCUGUCCAAUUUUCUUUUAACUCUAAAAUGGUGAAAGGGUGCAACACAUUGGCAGACUCACCCAUUGGUAGAGAAAUUAAAUUUGAACAACGAACAAUUUUUUGAAUUGACUUCUUUUUCUAUAGCAAAAAAUAAUAAAUAGAAAAAGAGAGUAAGAAUACAAUGAAAACAUGAAAGUUGUUUAAAAAAUUGCUGGGACGAUUUAACUAUUUUAGAAUACGAAUAACACAUGAAUUCACAAGGAUGGUUUAACUAACGAGCAAUGAUAUUUGAACAACUAUUUGGUACCACCUUUAUGACAAAUUUUUUUCUCUCUUCUUAUUGGUCAAAAAUAAUGAAGAGGGAAAAGGGAAGAGAGAGAAUAAGAAGAUAAUGUGAGUAUGAGAGAUAAAGUUGUAUAAAAAUGAUUGUACGAAUAUCAUUUCUCUUAACUAUAUAAACCUAUUAUUAAACACUCUUAAAUUGUAAGUUUCAACUACUCAAAAUAAGUUUUAGAUAUAGAUAAAAUAAUUGUUUUUACACAUUCAAGGAUAAAAUUACUUUAUAGAAAAAUACCUAGUUAAAAUUAGUAUUAAAUUAAGGGUUAAUGGUGCUUUACCCCCUGUAAUAUAGGUCAUUUUUUAUUUUCCCCCUGUCAAAUAUUUUUUUUGAUUUACCCUCUUGUAAAAUAUAUUUUUUUUGGAAUACCCCCUAAUAUUUUUUUUUUUGAAUACCCCUAAUAAGUCAUUAAAAAUAUUAAUACCAAUAGUUUCCAAAACCGAAAAUUCAAUAACAAAAACAUAUUGAUGUAAAUCAUAUAUUAUUUAUAUUCUUUAGAAUAGUCUAGAUACAUUAUAAUCAAACUGAUAUUUUUUUGUUUUUGUUUUUACACAUGAGUCGAAUCUGAUAGAUAUUUGUGGAACUAAUCUAGGUUUAAGUCAAUAGGGUUGUCCUCGACAGUCUUUGUUGGGACACAAAGGACAUAGCGUCACGCAAGGGUACUUUCGUCCAUCCAAUUCAAAGAGAGUGGUUUUUUGUUGGGAGAAGAGCAAUUUUCAACAAAUAAACCUAAAGUAAUCAUCUUCUUCAUCGCAACACAAGAAGCAUGUCAAUCCUUAGUCGAUUGAAACUCGCAGGUACUCGUUGUUUCUUCUACUCUCUCUCUCUCUCUCAUUAAAUUUCUUGAAUUUGUUAUUGCUUUGUUACAAUUCUGUUCUAAGAAAAUUCUAUUGCGCUUCUUAAUUUAGCCUCACACAGAAAUAAUAUAUAUGUUUAGUCUUGGCAAGGGACCAAAUACUAACGUAUAGUUAUCAUAUAUAUUGCGUGCUUGCAGCAACAAUGAAGAGCUGUGAAAAGCUUGAGAAUGAGUUGUCUGAUCAUAUUAUAUCUUAUAUCUUUUCCAAGUUAGCUUUGAAAGAUUUGGUGAAAACCAGUGCAUUGUCCAAACAAUGGAUUCACGAAUGGGGAUUAAGGAUGGACCUUAACUUCGAUCUCUAUACCAUGUCCGACUAUAACACAGAUCAAGACUUGUCACAAAUCCUUCCUCUCUCUCUCAAAGGUUUCACUUUCAAUCUGAAUUUUCCACAAGAUUGGAUCAAUUUAUGCUGCAUUAUAAAGGUGCCAUCAUCCGUUCCAUUCGAGUAAAAUUUCCAUUAUGUAAUCAACAUAGGGAUGUCAUUCAUAGAUUGAUCUCCAAAGGAAUUGCUAAGGGUGCCAAACAUAUUGAACUUCUCUUCUCUUCUGAAACAACUGAUACUACUAUUUCUAUUAUGCCAUACAGAUUUUCCCUUAUUCUCUUACUUGAGAAUGAUUCUGUGACCUAUUUGCACCUACAAAACUGCCUCAUAGACAAACCCAGAUACUUCUCUGGAUUAAAAAAUUUGAGAACUCUUGUGUUGCAACAAGUUUUUGUGAAGAAGACACUCCUUAAGACUUUGUGUUCAAAUUGCAACCACCUUGUUGACCUCACCCUUGAUGGUUGUAAAAUCACUUCCAAGUUGGUAAUAAACAGCCCAUCAUUGCUUCGUUUGAACAUUGCUAAUGUUGGGUUUUACCCUCGAAAUCUUAUUACUAUCAUUGCCUCAAGUCUCUCAUCCUUUGAGUAUUCUUGUCUUAAAGAACAUGUAGUACACCAAAUGAACAUUCAAGCUCCUAUGUUAUCCAAGUUUAGCUUUAGAGGUGCUUUGUUUUCAAAGCGUAUACGGUUAUCUGGAUUGACGAACGUAACAAUAAUUAAGUUUGAUGCAUUACUAAUUGAUCUAUCCACAAACAUCUUGCCUCAUUUGUUUUCUAAAUGUCCUCAACUUGAAGCUGUCACUCUUAAGAACUGCUUGUUCACAAGUUCAACACAAAUUACCAGUUCGAAGUUACGUCAUUUGAUCAUACUUGAUAGUGUUUGGGUGGAUGACUCUCCUUCUGAUAUAUCUAUUGAUGCAUUAAAUCUUUCAUCCUUUGAAUAUACUGGGUACACCACAAGGAUAAUUUCUUUUACGGCUCCAAGGUUAUCGAAGGUUUUCUGGGAUACAUCAGAGAGAGAGAAUAGACCACACCUUUUUGAUCCAAUUGCAAGUUUACCACAUAUUGAGAAUUUAGCUAUGAUCAUCGGCACUUUACAAGUGAGUCGCUCAAUGAUAUUCCAACACUAUAGUACAUUCCAACAGUGUCUAGGUUUCUUUCCAUUACGUUUUUCACUAGCUGCUUUUAAUUCACUUAAGUAUCAUUGUUGUAAACAGGUAAAGGAAUUAGCGAAAGUCUUGGUUCGGUUUCAAAAUCUUUGACAAUUGGACUUACAUAUUGAUGGAGCAUGUGAUCCUAUUAUGGACUACUUUUGGCUUUUGGAUAUUGCAACGGCUUCUAGGCAUCUCCAAAAACUUACACUGAGUGUAAGUUAUUCAAACUUUUUUUUUUUUUCUUUUGUCUUGAAUGGAACUAGAAGUUUAUUUUAAAACUUAGCUGCAGUACGAUAGGUAUUGUUUUUGCUAUUUCCCAAUUGAAACUAGACACAUGUAAGAGUAGAUAAAUAAAGAUGAAUAAUUUUUGUUUUUCUUUUUAAAUAUUAACACUAACUUAAAACUCAUAUACUUUAAAAUAAACAAAUUUCUCCGAAUGUUUUUUCAUAAUAGUAAAUUAGAUUUAUUUAACCAAAAAUCCCAAAUCAAUUAUCAAACCUUUAAUUGAUAUUGAAAAUGGGUGAGAGACCGAAACUCAUACAAUUGAAUUUGAGAGACCAAAAAGUUGGAUUUUAAAAUAGGGGACCAAAACUUCAUUUUUCCUAAAACAAGUCAAUCAAAAGUGCAUUUAAGUCAAAAACCACUAUCAAACAACUCUAUUUUAGUCUUGUGUGUUUGUAUGAAAGUUAUACUCUAUCGGUUUAUAAAUACACGUCGUAGUCAAUCACUUCACAUAUGCUAAUACACAACUUUGAUAAUCAAUAUCUUUAGUUAUCUAUGAUAAAAAAAAAUUAUAACAGUUAGAUAUGUUAUAAAUAUUCAUUGAGACAAGUUGAACAAAAUCUUAUAUACUAACAUUAGUGUUUAUAUAUUAGGUAAAAAUAUAUUACACAUUAUGAAUGUGAAUAAUACAUAUUACCAACGUCAAAAAAGAAAGAAAGAAUAGUACACAUUAUCAAAUUGUUACAUGUAUCUUAUAAGCUAAUAGUUUGACCUUGUCAAACAUAAUAAACAACAUCGUAUUUCAAUUAAAAUAAUGAAUAAGUUGUGGAUUAGUUUUAUAUGCUAAUGGAAUUUUAAAAUUCUCAUAAAUGUAUCGUUAUUUUCAAUUUUCAGAUUAAAAAUCUUCAUCCGGAACAUUCACAUAUGGUUGGAUUUAAAAGGCAGAAAAGCGAAUAUGAGGGGUUUUCUCAUAAUGUUUUGAAAUAUGUGGAGUUUCUCGGCUGUGUUUGCUCCAUAAAUGUUUUUGAGUUAGCUACUCACCUAUUGAAGAGUGCAAAUUCGCUUAAGAAAAUGACUUUCCAUUCUAGUGACAGAGUCUAUCUUGGAGGUGGUAGAUGGACAACUUAUUUUAAUGCAUGUGGUGGUGAUUGUUGGUUAGGAAAGAAUGUUAUUCACGAGAUGUUUAAGGAUUGUUAUCAUGGUUUUUGGGUGCCAAGCCAUUAAUUAGACUUGUACCUUUCGACCGUUGAUAUCUCUAUUUUUUCUUGGGAAGGGCAAAAUUGAGAAAAAACCCUUAGAUUCUAAGUUCGGGGGCCGGUUUUACUACGGGAAGGUGUUAGGCACCCGGAGUAACUAUAGUCCUCUAUAGGAGCCGUUUUCCUAAGUCUAUAUUCACGCUUAUUUUUACUUACUUUUGAAAAUGGGAGGUUUAUUUAGUUAAGAAUGGGGGGGAGAGAUUGUAAGACUUUGAUUUUAUUUCGGCUUGGAUGAGUUUUGACUCAUUGCCUACGUACCGUUUUACAGGAUCAAAACCGGCGUAGUUCUUGCUAAAAAGACUUGUUUUUCUUUUGUUUUAAUUGUUUGAUUUUAAGUUUUGAAAAAAAGGUUUUGAAGAAGGAGAUUGGGAGGCUUCAUGAGCAUUAGAUUUUAGCAAAAGGUGAAGUUUGAUUAGUGAUUAGAAAAAAAGUCUAAAUGAUUAAGAUGAAUUGAAUUUUCCUUUAGAGAAAAAAAAAAAGAAAGGAAAAAAAAAAAUGAAGUGUUGACUUCAUACUUAUUAUGAAAAUUUUUGAAGUGAAGUUCAAUUGUUUUUUUUGGAAAAAAGAUGGAUUUUCUCUAAGUGUUUAAAACCUAAACGCUUAUUUAACCAUACAAUCCUAUGCAUACAUCUAAGGUGAGUGUGUGCGUGUCGGUGCAUCAUAGUGUCCAUAGUCCAUAUUACAAAAAUUGCCUAAAUACAUUCUAUGGCCCCUUUGCCAAGCUACAAACCAAUGAUAACAAAUUACAUUACCAAAUGAAUUAAAACUUGCAAAAGAUAAAGGCUAGGCUAAAGAAAGUGGAGGGAAUGCUAAAUGGGAUGCAUGAAACAUGGAAAUAAACUUGUUAGUGAAAAGAAAAAACAUAACAAGUACUAAGAAAUAAAAGCAUGCAAGAUGGCACAAAAAGUUAACAAAAUGACAUUAAACCCUAAAAACUUAGGUAUGAAACCUAAAGCAUUCUUGGCCUCUAAUUCUCAUGCUUUAACAAAUUUUGAAAGAGUUUUCUUUAUCUCAAGUUAUAGCAUAGAAUUAUUGGAAACAUGCAAACAUGGUUUCAUGCCACAUUUUCUAGAAUAAACUUGGCAUUUUAUAUCUUUCAAAAUAUGCAUAUAUUGUUCAUAAAAUCAAGCACUCAUGAACCAAAUCAAAACAGCAAAUCAACAUGAAAUUAUUGGCACAAAUCUCUCAUAUUAACACGUCAAGUAGCUUUUAUUUCAUAUUCUCACAUCAAGGACAAAUGUGUGAAGAAGAAUCCAUAACAAAUAAUUCAAAGAGAAUUAAAAUGCUAUGAAUUAAUUAUACAAAAAUUUCAUAGAUCCUUAAUGUUCAAAAAUGUCAUAAAAACACUAAGAAAAUAUCAAGAAACAUGUGAUAAUUUUUUGGAGGUUUUUUGGAGAAAAUUUUAAGCAUGCAGGGGUUCAAACAGCAAAGAAAUAUGGUGCAAAUAGCAGGAAAACAAACAAAAACGUAAAAGAACAAAGCCCAAACCAAAGGCCCAAUACACUAGAAGAUCCGGUUGCACAGGAACCAUACGAUUGAUCCAGGAUUCUGAAACCCUAGAUCAGACGGCCAGGAAUCAAAGGGGGAAUGGACCGGACUGGACCGGUCCGGUUCGCUGGCUUAUAAAAAGGAAGGAGCUCCGGUUUAUUUCAUUUUGCUGCUCUCAUUCUCUCUCUAACUCUUCUCUCUUCUCUCAUCUCUCAUCUCUCACUAACUUCGCCGCCGGCGAGGAUGAAGCUACGGCGGAGACCUUGAAGGUCCGCCGGAAACUUCAUCUUCUCCGGCGAGUUCAUGCAGUUUCCGGUGACCUAAAUUUCCAGAUUUCAAAGAUUCUUACUCCAUUUGAUUCGUCCUUUAACCCUAAACACGAAUCCAGCAGUUGUUUUUUCAAAUUCAAGUCGAAACGAUGUAGAUCUGGAAAUUUGCCGUACGGCUUUGAAUUUGAUUUUGAUUUUUUGAAAGAUAACGUUUAGAUCCUUGAAGAUCUACAUCAUUUCGUUGUUUAACACCUCUUUGAUGUUUGUUCUUGCUUUCAAAACUUAGAUCCUUAUGGAUCUAGGUUUUGUGUUUACGGUUACGGUUUUGGCUUUGAAUUCUGGAAAUUUGGAUCUGUUUUGCUUGCGUGAUUUUUAGGUUUAACAGUGAUAUUGCUUUUGAAAAAGAUUAUGAGUUUUACCUAAGGUUUUGGUUGAAACCUUUAAUGGAGAAAUUCUUUGGAAAACUUCAAUCUCUGAUGCUACGUGAUUUGGCUUUGAAUCCGGAAAUAAACCGGUGUUCCUGCUGGUUUCUUGCUUUAUCGUCUUCUUCGCCGGUUUAAACCUUCAUUAUCUUUCUUUCUUCUUCGUCUUCCUCACUGUAUCUUCGUGAUCGGUGCUGGAGUUUGCCUUUGGCGAAUUCGCACCUUGAAUUGCGAAGAUACUGAUUCAAUGAUGAUGAUUCUUCAAAGAAUCACUGAGAAUCCAUGAAAAAUAGCUUGAAUUUGUGUAGUUUCUGUUUCUGGAAAAGGUUAGGUUUACGCCAUUGAUGAAUGUUGAAGCUUUUUCUGUUUUGAUUUGUAACUGACAAGAGAGAGUGUGACUCUGUGUUUAUGAGUUGGCACCUGAUGAAUGGCUUUGAGUGGCACUGUGCACCUUUUAUAGCAUGACAUGUGUGCCUCUGAACAAAUGAGAAAGUGACACCUGGACCUGGAAAAAAAAAUGACACGGCCUUGGACAAAAAAUCAAAUUUGGACCUUCUUGCAAAAAACAAAACUUAAGGACUAAACUGCAAUUGACCAAAAAAGGACUAAAAUGAAAAUUGGAAGAGAAACUGGACUGAAAUGUAAUUUUGGGACCUCAAUUGAGGGACCAAAAUGUAAUAAAAAAUAAAAUUGAAUAAAACGUAAUUUGACCAAACGUAAAGCGAAACAAAAAUAAAAUUGACAAAACGGACUAAAACGAACCAAUGGCCUAAAUGAGGUACUUCAAAGUAACCUCCCCAUGCCAAAAUUUUAUGCGAAAUGACCAAAAUGCCCCUAGGGCUAAAAAUGACCUAAACAGAGCCAAAAUGACUCGACACUGACUCAGAUGCAAGUUUGAAAUGAAAUUAGCAAGGUUUACUGAUGGAAAGUUAAAAAUGAAUUUGAAAAGACCCAGAGACAGUCACAAGGAUGAAAAUGGGUCCCACUGCAGGAAAUGACCAAAAUACCCUUCUGUAUGACUUUUUUUGCAAAUUUUGAAAUAAACUGUAGAAAAAGCAAUGUAAUGAUUCAGAGACACUUUUGAAUGACUUACAAGACAAGUAAAGACAUUUCGAAAGGUUUUAUGCAAGAAAAACAUAGGUAAAAUUGUGAUUGAAAAUACUGCGAGGCAGAGACAAUUUGAACUGUGCAGUUGAAAUUUGAUAAUUGACAAAGUUUGAAAAUGAAAUUGGGCCCAGUAUUUUUAGGUCCAAAAACAGGGUAUAACAGCUGCCCCUAUUUAAGUUUCUUUGUCUGGAGAGUCAAGAGACGGAGUCUUUGGCUUGACAGGACGAAGACACUUAAAUAUUAGCAUUUGCACUGUGUUUGGACGUAAAAAUACGCCUACCCAUUUUCAAAUAAUAUGCAUGCCAUGCAUCAUUUGGAUUAUGAAUGCAAGACCUCAUGGGGAUUGGAAUUAACAAAAUAUGUCGUAUCCAUUGCGGGAUUGGUAGACAUUGACAAAGAUAGUGAAUAGCAGAGUAACGGGAAACUAGAAACAAGUUGGACAGGUACAAGCUGUUCUUGGAUUCAAACUAGCCACUUGACCGGGGAUGAAACAAACAGACAACUGCGAGUUGUUCUUAUGGAUUCGAACUGGUCACUUCACAGGGGAUGGAGGUUACUGGACAAACAUGAGUUGUUCUUAUGGAUUCGAACUGAUAACUCACUUGGGGAUAUUGGAAAGUGCGAGUUGUUCUUAUGGAUUCGAACUGGUGACCCGACUGGGAAAAAGAGAAAAUUGGCAAGUACGAGUUGUUCUUAUGGAUUCGAACUGGUUACUCGACUGAAAGCAUGGCAAAUAGACAGGUGCGAGCUUGUUCUUGGAUGCGAACUGGUUACUCCACCGGACAGAAACAGAUAGACAGGUACAAGCUGCUCUUGGAUUGAGCUAGCCACUUGACCAAACGGAAACAUAUUGACAGGUACAAGCUGCUCUUGGACUGAGCUGGGCACUCGACCGAUAACAUAAGCAAAUUGAUAGGUACAAGCUGUUCUUGGACUUGAACUAGCCACUUGACCAAACAGAAACAUAUUCACUGGGGAUUGGUUUUGUUCUGACAAAAUAUAGAUUGAGAUUGACUUGACGUCGAUUUGAUUUGAAAGGUAGAAAUUGACCGAUAUUAUUGGCUCACAAGGUUUUGACAGAGAACCUGACAUGAGUUUUGAAUUGAGACUGAUGUUGACAUUGAAAAUGCAAUAUGCACGGAUGAUAUAACGAUUUCAUUAAAUGCAUGAGCACGUAAUAUGCAUGAUUAUGCAUGUAUGAAUGCUUGUAAUGCAUGACUGUUGGCAUUUUGUAGGCACGACUUCACGGGGAAGACGAGACAUCAGAGUAUUGGGCACGUAGUGGCUCGUGCUAUGUUACACCUUCUUGGAAAUCCUCUUUGGAGAUGACGUCGUUUGGGAGACGUAUCGGAACCAUGGCUGAGGGCAGGUAGCUAUGCAACUUGCUGGGGAUAGAAUCUCGAGAGACUUUACUGGGGAUAAUGCCGUUGUGAUAGGCAUGUUGUGGACAUCGCAUCUGUGGUCAAUGCUUUUUGCAUGUUAUAUUCUCAAUUCUCAUUCAUCAUUUUUUGCAUCCCAUUUUUGCCUGGAUCGCCCUUUCGGGUUUUCGAUCCACCGGGGAAAUAAAUUCUUUUCAAUGCCCCAUUUUUGCCUGAACUGCCCUUUCGGGUUGUCAAUCCAGCGGGGUGCUCAUUUUUGCCUAAGCCGCCCUUCCGGGUUUUCAACUUAGCGAGCCUUUUCAUUUUCAUGCAUUUGCAUUCUGUUUUUUUUCAUUUUUGCCAUUGACCACAGAUUAUCUUGGAGGAGAACCUGCUUGUAACAUAUAUGGAAAUAGACAUUAACAUACUCUCGCUCAUGCAUGUUUCAUUUGAAUGUACCCUGUUGCUCAGGUUUGCUUUUCAAAACAGACAAAAAGUUUUCAAUUUUCAAAAUGUUUGUUUCAAGCAUUGUCAUUAUCAAAAUAGAAAGAAAAUGUUUUGUAUAUAGCUUUGAAAGUAAAAAGAAAGCAGAGUUUCAAACAAAAGCACAAGCUCAAAUUGAUGUAUAAGAGUGGUGGUCAGCCGAAGGCGUGACUCCACGGAUUCACAAAGCUUGGAAAAUGGUAAUUUUAUUGGUUGGUGGUACAUUGAACACAGUAAUCACUACAUUUCUUAGAAACUUUGAAUCCACAAGUGCAGAAGCUUUUGAUGAAGACGGUCAUUAACAGCUGCAGAUGUCCCAAGGGGGACGGUGGUUGGCCAGAUAUAGUUACUUGCCUUUUGUUUCAAUCUCAUUUUUGCAUGAACCGCCCUUCCGGGUUUUCGGCUCAUCGAGACACUCAUUCUUGCCUGAGUUGUGUACAAUCUCAGCGAGCUUUUCAUAUUUGUUUUUUUUGUCCCUUAUUUUUGCCUGGACCGCCCUUUCGGGUUCUCGAUCCACCGGGAAGCGCAUUUUUGCCUAGGCCGCCCUUUCGGGUUUUCGACCUACCACGCUGUUCUUUUCAUAUUUCUAGGCAAAGUAUUUCUUGACUAUAUCGGCAUUCACUGGAUUUGGAAGCUCUACACCAUCCAUGUGUGUAAGGAUUAAAGCACCACCGGAGAAGGCCUUCUUGACAACAUAAGGACCUUCAUAGUUAGGCGUCCACUUGCCCCUUGGGUCGGGUUGCUGGCUUAUCCUCCCUUUCAAUACAAGUUCCCCUACCUUGAAUUCUCGCGGAUGGACUUUCUUGUCAAAGGCAGUCUUCAUUCUUGCUUGAUAUGACUGUCCACGAGCCAUGGCAUCCAUACGUUUUUCCUCAAUCAAAUUUAACUGAUCAUACCGGUUUUGGCACCAUUCAGCCUCAGAUAACUUUGCUUCCAUAAUCACACGGAGAGAUGGGAUCUCCACUUCCAAAGGAAGAACUGCUUCCAUACCAUAUACAAGAGAGAAAGGGGUUGCCCCGGUUGAACUGCGCACAGUAGUACGGUAGCCAUGCAGAGCAUAGGGUAACAUCUCAUGCCAGUCCUUGUAAGUGGUUACCAUCUUCUGGAUGAUUCUCUUGAUAUUCUUAUUGGCGGCCUCAACUGCACCAUUCAUCUGAGGUCUAUAAGGAGAAGAGUUAUGAUGCUCAAUUUUGAAUUCUUCACAAAGAGCUUGCACCACAUUGUUGUUCAGGUUGGUACCAUUGUCGGUAAUAAUCUUGCUGGGAACACCAUAUCGACAGAUGAUGUUGUUCUUGAUGAACUUAGCUACCACUUGCUUGGUCACAUUAGUAUAAGAUGCUGCUUCAACCCACUUGGUGAAGUAGUCAAUUGCCACUAAGAUGAAACGAUGACCAUUUGAAGCCUUCGGUUCAAUCCUUCCAAUCAUAUCGAUGCCCCACAUUGAGAACGGCCACGGGGAUGACAUAACAUUGAGAGCGUGCGGAGGCACAUGAAUCUUAUUAGCAUAGAUUUGACAUUUGUGACAUUUUCUGGCGUAUUGGUAGCAAUCAUGCUCCAUGGCCAUCCAGUAGUAACCUGCCCGUAGCAACUUUCUUGACAUAGUAUGCCCUGUAGCAUGGGUCCCGAAGGUACCGUCAUGUACAUCAUGCAUUAACUGCUCCGCCUCAUGUUCAUCAACACAUCUUAACAAUACCAUGUCAUAGUUCCUCUUGUACAAAAUAUCUCCAUCUAACAGGAAUCUACCGGCCAAUCUUCUCAAGGUCUUCUUGUCUUGUUUGGAAGCACUCGGCGGAUACUCACGGCUCAGCAAGAACUGUUUGAUGUCGUAGUACCAAGGUCUAUAGUCAACCACAUUUUCACCAGCUUGAUCGAUCACAUCCCCAAUAGCAAACACAUGUGAAGGUCUUUCAAGGCGUUGCACUUUGAUUAAUGGCACAUCAUUCCAAUGGUUUACUCGGAACAUGGAAGAUAGAGUAGCAAGAGCAUCAGCCAUUUGGUUCUCAUCACGAGGAAUAUGAUGCAGCUCAACCUUUGUAAAAUAUGUCAGAAGACGUCUCGCAUAAUCACGAUAAGGAAUCAACUUAGCAUGGUGGGUCUCCCAUUCACCCUUUAUCUGAUUGAUGACGAGCGCAGAAUCUCCAUAGAUGUCGAGGUGUUUGAUUCUCAUGUCAAUUGCUUCCUCGAUCCCGAAGAUACAUGCUUCAUACUCAGCCAUAUUGUUUGUACAUUCGAACAGAAUACGGGCGGUAAAAGGAAUAUGAUGCCCUUGCGGGGAUACAAUGACUGCCCCAAUUCCUUUGCCAUAAGCAUUGACAGCACCAUCAAAGACUAAACCCCACUUGCUAUUGGGAUCUGGACCUUCAUUAAUCAACGGUUCGUCGCAGUCUUUGGAUUUCAAAUACAUGAUCUCUUCAUCAGGGAAAUCGAAUUCAAUUGGUUGGUAAUCAUCAAGAGGUUGAUAAGCAAGGUGAUCGGCAAGAAUGCUGCCUUUGAUUGCCUUUUGAGUUUUGAACACAAUAUCAUAUUCAGACAAAAGCAUCUGCCAGCGUGCGAUCUUCCCAGUAACGGCCGCUUUCUCAAAGAUAUACUUUAUCGGAUCCAUUCUGGAUAUCAACCAAGUUGUAUGAUUCACCAAAUAAUGGCGCAGGCGUUUGGCAGCCCAAGCUAGAGCACAACAAGUCUUUUCAAGCAUUGUAUAUCGAGUUUCACAAUCGGUGAACUUCUUGCUUAGAUAGUAGAUAGCAUGCUCUUUCUUUCCGGUUUCAUCUUGUUGACCAAGUACACAUCCCAUGGAUUCAUCAAAUACUGCCAAAUACAUAAUCAAAGGCCUUCCUUCCACGGGUGGGACAAGGAUAGGUGGUUCCAGCAGGUAAUUCUUGAUGCUAUCAAAAGCUUCUUGGCAUUCAUCAUUCCAUACAACAGGCUGGUUCUUUCUAAGUAGCUUGAAGAUCGGCCCGCAGGUUGCAGUCAUGUGAGAUAUGAAUCGGGAGAUGUAAUUCAAACGUCCCAAGAAACCUCUGACUUGCUUCUCUGUCUGUGGAGCUGGCAUUUCUCGGAUGGCCCGGACUUUAUCAGGAUCGACUUCAAUGCCCUUUUGGCUGACAAUGAAGCCUAAUAACUUUCCGGACCUGACACCGAAUGUACAUUUGUUGGGAUUCAAUCGCAGCUUGUAUUUUCUCAACCUUUCAAACAUCUUUGUUAGAUAUUCAACAUGCUGCUCCUCAUCUGCUGACUUCACAAUCAUGUCAUCCACAUAUACCUCAACUUCUUUGUGAAUCAUGUCAUGAAACAGAGUGGUCAUUCCCCUUUGGUAGGUAGCACCAGCAUUGAUUAGGCCGAACGGCAUCACUUUGUAACAGAAAGUACCCCAUGGAGUGAUAAAAGAUGUCUUUUCUCUAUCUUCAGGAGACAUUUUGAUCUGAUUAUAACCGGAAAAACCGUCCAUGAAGGAGAACACCUUAGAUUGAGCAGUAUUAUCAACAAGCACGUCAAUAUGGGGUAACGGAAAGUUGUCUUUUGGACUGGCUUUGUUCAAGUCCCUGAAAUCAACACACAUCCGGACUUUACCAUCCUUCUUCGGCACAGGCACAAUAUUGGCAACCCAUUCGGGGUACUCAACUGUCAUGAGGAAACCCGCAUCAAUCUGCUUUUGAACUUCAUUCUUAAUCUUGAGGGCCAUAUCAGGAUGAGUCCUCCUCAAUUUCUGCCUGACGGGAGGACAUUCAGGCUUGGUAGGGAUCCGAUGCUCCACGAUCAUAGGGUCUAGACCUGGCAUAUCUUCAUAGGACCAUGCAAAAAUAUCCGGAUAUUCCCGGAGGAGUUGGAUGAUCUUCUGUUUAACCCCUUCCUCUAGAGUAGCACCAAUCUUGAUUUCUCGCUUGUUUUCUUCGGUACCUAUGUUGAUAAGCUCAAUCUCUUCUUGGUGAGGCUGAAUGGCUUUCUUUUCUUGCUCAAGUAACCGAGUGAUCUCAUACGGUAUGUCAUCACCUUCCUCAUCUUCGGCUUCAUAUACAGGGAAAUCAAAACUUGGAGGAACCGUAGGAUUACUGUGUUCAACGGGUUUAUUAUGGUUCAACCUGCAUAUAAUGAUUGGAUGAUUUUAGAAAUAGUUUUUUUUUCAUGCAGAUUUUUGAAAUUAAUAAGAAAAUACAGACGUUUUGGUUUUUUCUGGCAUUACCAUUGUUUCCAAGGGAAAAAGCACUUAAAAAAAGUAGUCGUGGAAGAAACGACAAAAUUUUAUUAAUCAACGGCAAUGCCGAAACAAACAUGCCCUUACAGAAAAUAUCACUCUCGCUUUGGGCAGAGCGAGAGGAUUGUUAUUUUGAAAACAAAGCACUAAAGCAACAAGACACAUUACUCAGAAACAUGCAUGAUUGAAGGAAUGUCAAUGGCAUCCCAAUUCGUCGCAAUGCCUCCUGGUGUAACAAAUAUAGGCCUGAGACCAGAUCCAGUGGCUUCUUCAGAGAUAGCAUUAACAAACCCUGCACUGUGGAAGACUCCCGAGGAAACCCUUGAUGACGGGGAGAACCCGAGACCUUCCUUUCGCUUGUUCUCACAGAGCUGUAUCAUCUUGCCCCAGCCGGCAGUCUGACCUUCUUGGAUGGCUCUCUGAGCAUCCUUCAAUGAAGCCAUAGCAGCCCCAGCUUCCUUAGACUCUGCACCUUCAAUGGUCAAACCUUGGAAAGCAGUCCCUUCAGCAGAUCCUGCUUCAAUACAAGAGAAGGAAGACAACUGGCUGACUAAGUAUGCUUCUUCACCAUGGAUUGUAACGAGUUUUCCAUUCUUCACAAAUUUCAACUUCUGAUGUAAGGUGGAAGUAACCGCACCUGCAUCGUGUAUCCACGGUCUUCCCAGCAGGCAACUGUAGGAUGCAUUAAUGUCCAUCACUUGGAAGGUAACCAAGAAAUUCUCAGGGCCAAUGGUUAUCGGCAAGUCUAUCUCCCCCAGCACGUUCUUUCGAGAUCCGUCAAAAGCUUUGACCAAGAAAGUACUUCUUCUCAAAGGGGUCCCACGGUAGCUCAACUGAUCUAGAGUUGUCUUGGGCAUUACAUUGAGAGAGGAACCGGUAUCCACCAACACAUUUGAUAUCAUGUCUGAUUUACAAUUCACCGAGAUGUGCAAAGCCAGAUUGUGACCCUUUCCCGCUUCCGGCAACUCUUCUUCACUAAACCAGAGGUUGUUACAAGCAGUAAUAUUUCCCACUAUGCCACCGAAACGAUCUACCGUAACUUCGUGGUCAACAUAUGCCUGCUCCAGCACUUUCAACAAGGUAUUCCUGUGAGCCUCAGAGCUCAAGAGUAAUGACAAGACAGAUAUCUUUGAAGGAGUCUGCAGCAACUGAUCAACGAUCUUGUAGUCGCUCCUCUUUAUUAUUCUCAGAAUCUCAUCUAAAUUUGAAUCCUCUAUAGAUUUGCCUGGCUGAUUCACAUCUGUAGCAAUGGGUGAAACAACGGUUGGAGUUGCUUCUUCAACUGGUGGAGUGAUUGGCGUAGCUACCUUCUUCUGAAAUAAUGGCGGACGAACCUUCCCGCUUCUUAGCGCUGCAGAAGUCCCUUCGGCAAUAUUGCUUACUGUGGCAAAGGAGGCUAGAGGUACCUCUACUCCAUUUUCUAUUAUAGUAGCAUUGUACUUAUAUGGCACUGCCUUGUCCGAAGCAUAAGGAAUUGGUCCUGGCAACCUUAUUACCAAAGGCUCAGCAUUCUUCUUCAAAGGUACACUCUUGACAGGCGGAUCGUGAAAAACUGGCACGACCACGCAAACAUCACUGACAGUCAGAAGAUUAUCGUUCAUCGAACUUUGGAUGUCGUCUUGAACAGCAUGGCAACCCAAAGGAUCACGGAGGCAUCCUAGACACUUGGCAUGAUCAUGGCUGAACAGAGAAGCUUUGCACAGCUUGAUAUGUAGAGGCACCAGAGGAGUGACAACAUUGCGGACAUCAAGUCUAGGAGCUUCCUCACACACUUCGAUCAUAUUCACAGCGGCAUGAUUUGGUAGCGGAUUGUCAAGGACAUGUGGAACAUUAUUCUCAAAAGUCAGCUUUCCCUGAUCAAUGAGCUUCUUCACGAUAUACUUCAAAGCAUAACACCCCUCGACAUCAUGACCUAAGGCACCUUGAUGAAAGUCACAUUUGAGAUCAGACCUGAACCUUGGAGGCAACGGAUCAGGUGGUGGCUUGCCCUGUCUAGUCGUACAAUGACCUCUCUGGAGUAAAGUCGGAAGAAGUUCUGCAUACAACAUCGGUAUAGGAGGAAAAGUUGGUCUAGUAUACUGCUGCUGCUGCUGUUGUUGUUGUUGUUGAACCGGCAACUGUUGUUUUAUCUGUUGGGCAAUUGCAUUGACGGGCACUUGAGGCUGGCCCGGUGGCAAAGGGUACUGAUGAUAAAACGGUGGGAAGAACGAAUGCUGAGAAUACGGCAUAUAUGGGUAUGACGGAGGCAUUUGAGCUGUAUUGAUAGGAGCAACGGUAGCUAUAGAUUGACCGGCUCCAGCUGACACCAUCCCCACUUCCGUUUCUUUCUUCUUGUGGUGUCCAUUACCAUAUCUCUUCGAUGCACCCACAGAGGAUUCAGCUUUCUCAAACACAAUGAUUCCAUCCCUGACUGCUUCCUCAAGACGGGUUCCCAUAGUGACCAUCUCCGAAAAGUUGUUCGGGGCAGCGAUGAUCAUCCUCUCAACAUAAUCUUUCUUCAAGGUCUUUAAGAAUGUCUGGGUCAUUUCUUCUUCAUCUAAAGCAGGAGUAAUACGGGCAGCUGCCCCUCUCCACCUUUGCGCAUAUUCACGGAAACUUUCCUCCUUUUUCUGAGAUAGGGACCUGAGAAACUCCCUAUUCGGCUUCAAUCGAGUGUUAAACCCGUAGUGGCUCCUGAAAGCGGUGGCCAGCUCAUCAAAAGUAUGGACAUCGUCUUUGCUCAGACUAGUAUACCACUCUGCAGCAUCCUCCAUCAGACUGUCUUGGAAGUAAUGGAUCAUAAGGGAAUCAUUGUCCUUGUAGUUGCCCAUUUUCCGGACGUAUUUGACAAUAUGAUUUUGAGGACAAGUCAGCCCGUUAUACUUGUCGAACUCCGGGACUUUGAACUUUUUUGGAACAUCUACCUUCGAUACUAAGCAGAGGUCCUGGGUUUUAAUGGAGUCUCCGUUUCCCCUGUUGGCCUUAAUUUCCCGUUGGAGCUCUUUGGCAAGUUCUUCCAUUCUCUCUUCCAUAGUUCCGGUUGUGGCAAUACUCCCGUGGUGCGCAUUAGCAUGGACAAAUAGAGGCACCGCAUUCACAAUGGGCUCGGUAACAGUUGUUGCAGCUUGAGUCAAGGCAGUACUAACAGGAGUUAAGUUUGCCCCUGGGAUUGGGCCAUUGUUGGUAGUACCAGAGGUCCCUGCCCCUGUAUUAGCAGUAUAGUACAGCGGAAGUCCGUAAGGAUACCCGGAUGGCAUGAUAGAGCGGGGAUCAGUUGUUACGGUAGGAGUCACAUUUGCAGCUGUAGAAACUACGGGAACUGGUUGUUCCUGAGCAGCCAACAGAGCAGUCAUAGCAUCAUGAGCUUUGGCCAAUUCCUCCCUUAAAGAUGCCAAUUCGGUACGGAGCUGUGUGUUCUCUUCUUCCAUAGCCCUUUUCUUUCUUCUGUAUUCUCUGGUUCGAUCAAUUCUAUCAGGUUCGUAAACUCUCUGAGCACGAGCCACUUUUCACACUAAGGCAGAGAAACCAGGAGGUGGUAAGCACUCGGAAGCCUUUGUGACCGAUGCAUGAUGCAUAUGAUGCAUGAUAUGCAAAUGCAAAUGCGAAAGACUUAUUUUUUUCAUCGAAGGAUUUUUAAACAAAUUGGAAAUUUUGCAAAUAAUCAAAACUACAUAGCAUUUUCAAAAGGAAGACUUUGAAAUUUCAACAAGAUAAACAAAUGAAGCCCUCAAGCAUAAGAAGUAGUCGGAAGAUCAUCGGACUCGGAAUCUGAAUCACAGUAUCUAUCAAAGAAGUCUCGUCGUCCUCGAGCUCUCUUGGAGUCCCUCAUAAGCAGCUCAUCUUUCUCUUCCAAUUCCUUCCGGGCCUUAGCUAACUCUUUCUUCAACAUUAGAUUCUCAUGAGUCUUCUGCUCAUCUCUACCAUCCAAAGUCAUGAUUAGAUUCUCGGCUUGAUUGUACCGAGCUUUCCACACUUGCUUCUCACGACUCUCCAUAGCUAGAUGCUCCUGAUACAUAUCCUAAGUCGCGGGGAGCAAAGGUAGAGGCAUAGACGGGGUAGACGAAGACACGUAUCUCAUAGCUGGAUAAGGCAUACCAAUCUCCUCAGCUCGAUCUAUCACCCACUGAGUAUAGGCCUCAUGAGCAACACCGGAUCUCACACCUAGAUGCUUCACACUCUUCCUUCGAACCUUGGACCAAGCAUCCAUGAAAGCUUUCCUUUGUCCAGUAGGAGCACUCGUGUAGAAGAAGAACUCUGGAGAUGUAGCAAGAUUGAUGGGCUUCGACUUCAUAGGGAAACCAAACUGUCUCAUAGCAAGCUCGGGAUUGUAGUUAAUUCCUCCCCGAGUACCAAGAAGAGGUACAUUGAGAAAGUCUCCACAACCCAUAAUGAUUUCCUUCACUUGAGCGGCAGGAGUGAGCCAGACGACCUCAUUAGGAGUGAGGGCCAUAAUCCGCUGAGAGUAGGACCAAUUUUCCGAGUUAUCAUGGAAGGAACUCGGAAGGUGCGAAAUAAACCACCUAUACAAAAGAGAUAUGCAGCAAAGAAUAUACCCACGGCCCUUGAGAGUCCUGUCAUGAAUGGCGUGGUAGGCAUCCGCUAGCAAAGUAGGAACCGGGUUCUUGGAAUGAAAGAUCUCGAUAGCAUUCAUGUCCACGAAGUUGUCGAGGUUUGGAAAGAGAAUGAGCCCGUAGAUAAGCAAAGCAAGAAUAGCCUCGAGUGUAUCCUGACGAGUAGUACUGAGAUUAGCCUGAUCAAGAAGAUACUUUGAAGUGAACCCCCGGAUGUGAGACUUGGUAAUAAGAUGGUUGGAGACGUCGGAAGUCUUGAGGUAGAGAUCCUUAGCAAUAACCAGAGGAGUAAGAGAAGUCCCGGGACCGGUGAAAGGCGUCUUCUCGGCUAUAGGUAAACCCACUAGAUUGGAGUAAGCCUCGAGAGUAGGAACCAACUGGAAGUCCGGGAAGGUGAAGCAACGGAAGCUUGGAUCAUAAAAUUGCACUAGAGUGUGCACUAGCUUCUCGUCCACAUCGGUUCGGAGCAAAGUAAGCAAUCCCCCAUACCGGAGUCGGAACCCUGUUUGACUCUUGACCUUGAGUGCCAACUCUCUUAAACUGACCAAAUCCACUUCCUUGAACUUGUAGCACUUAGUCUUCUUCAUACCUGUGAUUAUUUACAAAAUAUUCCAUUUGUUUAGGCCCUUCGAUGAAUGCAUGAAAAAUGUUUAUGCAUGAAUGCAUGUAUGCAUGAUUGUGUUGUUUAGUUACAAAGAACAAGAUGGGUUGAGAUUCAAAGUAACAGGGCUACGGCUGGACACGGCGUCCGGUGAACUAAGGCUUUGGAUAGUAGUAACCAAGGUUCUAACACAGUUCCCAAACUGCAACCUCUCUCACAUAUAUCAUGGUAGUACAGGACGACACCCGUUCCAUGAUUAUUUGUGAGAAGGUCUAGUUUGAGUGUAGUAUCGCGUGACGACUAAAGUUUGAGACAACACUCAAUUUAGCCACCGCACUACGUCCUAAAAAGGCUAGGAUGGGUUUGGUAACUACGGUUCAUAGCUUCGUCGAACAAUUGAAAGUGAAGUGCCUAAGCAUGACAACACACGCCGACAAUAUCACCUUCAAAAUGCCUCAGCUAUGUGAGAUUGAUCGCAUAAUCCAAUACACGAGGCAACCCCCGGAUCGAAUUGUCGAUUAUAUCUCUACCUAAACAUAAGUUCACUCAGCCCGGGUAUAGGACUUUUGAUAUUCUCACCCCCCCCGUCAAAUGAAAGUAAACAAGUAUUCACAUAUGUAAGCAAUAAAACAAAGCGUAAAUAAACUAAGGAAAACUAGGCGUGACCCGCUAAAAAAAUCCCCAGUGAAGUCGCCAUUUCUGUUAUCAUGGUUUUUGGGUGCCAAGCCAUUAAUUAGACUUGUACCUUUCGACCGUUGAUAUCUCUAUUUUUUCUUGGGAAGGGCAAAAUUGAGAAAAAACCCUUAGAUUCUAAGUUCGGGGGCCGGUUUUACUACGGGAAGGUGUUAGGCACCCGGAGUAACUAUAGUCCUCUAUAGGAGCCGUUUUCCUAAGUCUAUAUUCACGCUUAUUUUUACUUACUUUUGAAAAUGGGAGGUUUAUUUAGUUAAGAAUGGGGGGGAGAGAUUGUAAGACUUUGAUUUUAUUUCGGCUUGGAUGAGUUUUGACUCAUUGCCUACGUACCGUUUUACAGGAUCAAAACCGGCGUAGUUCUUGCUAAAAAGACUUGUUUUUCUUUUGUUUUAAUUGUUUGAUUUUAAGUUUUGAAAAAAAGGUUUUGAAGAAGGAGAUUGGGAGGCUUCAUGAGCAUUAGAUUUUAGCAAAAGGUGAAGUUUGAUUAGUGAUUAGAAAAAAAGUCUAAAUGAUUAAGAUGAAUUGAAUUUUCCUUAAGAGAAAAAAAAAAAGAAAGGAAAAAAAAAAAUGAAGUGUUGACUUCAUACUUAUUAUGAAAAUUUUUGAAGUGAAGUUCAAUUGUUUUUUUUGGAAAAAAGAUGGAUUUUCUCUAAGUGUUUAAAACCUAAACGCUUAUUUAACCAUACAAUCCUAUGCAUACAUCUAAGGUGAGUGUGUGCGUGUCGGUGCAUCAUAGUGUCCAUAGUCCAUAUUACAAAAAUUGCCUAAAUACAUUCUAUGGCCCCUUUGCCAAGCUACAAACCAAUGAUAACAAAUUACAUUACCAAAUGAAUUAAAACUUGCAAAAGAUAAAGGCUAGGCUAAAGAAAGUGGAGGGAAUGCUAAAUGGGAUGCAUGAAACAUGGAAAUAAACUUGUUAGUGAAAAGAAAAAACAUAACAAGUACUAAGAAAUAAAAGCAUGCAAGAUGGCACAAAAAGUUAACAAAAUGACAUUAAACCCUAAAAACUUAGGUAUGAAACCUAAAGCAUUCUUGGCCUCUAAUUCUCAUGCUUUAACAAAUUUUGAAAGAGUUUUCUUUAUCUCAAGUUAUAGCAUAGAAUUAUUGGAAACAUGCAAACAUGGUUUCAUGCCACAUUUUCUAGAAUAAACUUGGCAUUUUAUAUCUUUCAAAAUAUGCAUAUAUUGUUCAUAAAAUCAAGCACUCAUGAACCAAAUCAAAACAGCAAAUCAACAUGAAAUUAUUGGCACAAAUCUCUCAUAUUAACACGUCAAGUAGCUUUUAUUUCAUAUUCUCACAUCAAGGACAAAUGUGUGAAGAAGAAUCCAUAACAAAUAAUUCAAAGAGAAUUAAAAUGCUAUGAAUUAAUUAUACAAAAAUUUCAUAGAUCCUUAAUGUUCAAAAAUGUCAUAAAAACACUAAGAAAAUAUCAAGAAACAUGUGAUAAUUUUUUGGAGGUUUUUUGGAGAAAAUUUUAAGCAUGCAGGGGUUCAAACAGCAAAGAAAUAUGGUGCAAAUAGCAGGAAAACAAACAAAAACGUAAAAGAACAAAGCCCAAACCAAAGGCCCAAUACACUAGAAGAUCCGGUUGCACAGGAACCAUACGAUUGAUCCAGGAUUCUGAAACCCUAGAUCAGACGGCCAGGAAUCAAAGGGGGAAUGGACCGGACUGGACCGGUCCGGUUCGCUGGCUUAUAAAAAGGAAGGAGCUCCGGUUUAUUUCAUUUUGCUGCUCUCAUUCUCUCUCUAACUCUUCUCUCUUCUCUCAUCUCUCAUCUCUCACUAACUUCGCCGCCGGCGAGGAUGAAGCUACGGCGGAGACCUUGAAGGUCCGCCGGAAACUUCAUCUUCUCCGGCGAGUUCAUGCAGUUUCCGGUGACCUAAAUUUCCAGAUUUCAAAGAUUCUUACUCCAUUUGAUUCGUCCUUUAACCCUAAACACGAAUCCAGCAGUUGUUUUUUCAAAUUCAAGUCGAAACGAUGUAGAUCUGGAAAUUUGCCGUACGGCUUUGAAUUUGAUUUUGAUUUUUUGAAAGAUAACGUUUAGAUCCUUGAAGAUCUACAUCAUUUCGUUGUUUAACACCUCUUUGAUGUUUGUUCUUGCUUUCAAAACUUAGAUCCUUAUGGAUCUAGGUUUUGUGUUUACGGUUACGGUUUUGGCUUUGAAUUCUGGAAAUUUGGAUCUGUUUUGCUUGCGUGAUUUUUAGGUUUAACAGUGAUAUUGCUUUUGAAAAAGAUUAUGAGUUUUACCUAAGGUUUUGGUUGAAACCUUUAAUGGAGAAAUUCUUUGGAAAACUUCAAUCUCUGAUGCUACGUGAUUUGGCUUUGAAUCCGGAAAUAAACCGGUGUUCCUGCUGGUUUCUUGCUUUAUCGUCUUCUUCGCCGGUUUAAACCUUCAUUAUCUUUCUUUCUUCUUCGUCUUCCUCACUGUAUCUUCGUGAUCGGUGCUGGAGUUUGCCUUUGGCGAAUUCGCACCUUGAAUUGCGAAGAUACUGAUUCAAUGAUGAUGAUUCUUCAAAGAAUCACUGAGAAUCCAUGAAAAAUAGCUUGAAUUUGUGUAGUUUCUGUUUCUGGAAAAGGUUAGGUUUACGCCAUUGAUGAAUGUUGAAGCUUUUUCUGUUUUGAUUUGUAACUGACAAGAGAGAGUGUGACUCUGUGUUUAUGAGUUGGCACCUGAUGAAUGGCUUUGAGUGGCACUGUGCACCUUUUAUAGCAUGACAUGUGUGCCUCUGAACAAAUGAGAAAGUGACACCUGGACCUGGAAAAAAAAAUGACACGGCCUUGGACAAAAAAUCAAAUUUGGACCUUCUUGCAAAAAACAAAACUUAAGGACUAAACUGCAAUUGACCAAAAAAGGACUAAAAUGAAAAUUGGAAGAGAAACUGGACUGAAAUGUAAUUUUGGGACCUCAAUUGAGGGACCAAAAUGUAAUAAAAAAUAAAAUUGAAUAAAACGUAAUUUGACCAAACGUAAAGCGAAACAAAAAUAAAAUUGACAAAACGGACUAAAACGAACCAAUGGCCUAAAUGAGGUACUUCAAAGUAACCUCCCCAUGCCAAAAUUUUAUGCGAAAUGACCAAAAUGCCCCUAGGGCUAAAAAUGACCUAAACAGAGCCAAAAUGACUCGACACUGACUCAGAUGCAAGUUUGAAAUGAAAUUAGCAAGGUUUACUGAUGGAAAGUUAAAAAUGAAUUUGAAAAGACCCAGAGACAGUCACAAGGAUGAAAAUGGGUCCCACUGCAGGAAAUGACCAAAAUACCCUUCUGUAUGACUUUUUUUGCAAAUUUUGAAAUAAACUGUAGAAAAAGCAAUGUAAUGAUUCAGAGACACUUUUGAAUGACUUACAAGACAAGUAAAGACAUUUCGAAAGGUUUUAUGCAAGAAAAACAUAGGUAAAAUUGUGAUUGAAAAUACUGCGAGGCAGAGACAAUUUGAACUGUGCAGUUGAAAUUUGAUAAUUGACAAAGUUUAAAAAUGAAAUUGGGCCCAGUAUUUUUAGGUCCAAAAACAGGGUAUAACAAGGAUGAAGUAAAUGAACAAUGUCAGCUUAUAAUUCUGUAGUGUCAUUUUUUCUAUUUAUAAUGAGUUUUUACUACUAUUAUUAUUUGUAAUAAAUCUUUUCUAAAAAACUUUGUAUAAUUUACUUUAUUUAUGAAUUACAAUAUUUACUAUUUUUUGGGUGUUUUUAUUUUAUAUGAAGGAAUCAUUAGAAAUAGACAUGUAGUUAUUAUUUGGUUGUGGGUUUGUUUGGUCACUCAACUUUGUUCGCAUGAAUUUUGAUCUUAAUCUCGAUGCUAUCGAGUCACCUUUAAAAUGAGAAACCUAAUCAACAAUAUUUGUAGGUGGUUUUGUCAACGUUAUUUUACCAUGCAAUUUUUUUUUUCUCCUAUGAAGAAGACUCUAUUUACAUGUUUAUCUAAUCUCACUAAAACAAUAUUGAAGCCCAUUGCAUAAAAUAUUAACUUCUUUUUUCCAAUUCUCACUUGAUGGUUACAUGUGGCGUUAAGAUUGAUACGAUAAUUUUAUCUUGAAUCACAUUCAAACAGAUGGGUCUAAAGACCACGUUGUUUUCAAUUUUUUUGUUGCCAAGAAUACUAUUGAGGAGGUCAUUAUGAACACGGAAGCACCCUACUCCAUAAAUCUAAUGUAUGGCAUCCUUACGGUGGCUUCAUUCCUUCUAAGUGACUUCAUUCCUUCUAAUGAGUGGUGAGAUAUAGUAUAUUGUCAUAAUAAGAUCGAACAUAUGGAAGUGACUUUCAGAUUGUGACUUGGCUUGCACGUUACGCACAUUUAAACAGACAAAGAUGAAGACAUCUUCAAUCAUUUUUAUUGUAAAAAACUAUACACACAUACUCUUUAGAUAUUAUUUGAUCAUUUGUAUCGUGUUAUUCUAGUUGGAAUGAUUUAUAUAAUCGGUUAUAUGCCAGUGUUGGAUGCAUAUCAUGUUUGACACUAACAAAAUAUGUAUUUUGCGUAUUUUGCUAGUGAAUUGAUGAGUAAUUUUCUUUUUCAAAUGACGAGGUGAUGAUAUGGGGUGCUACGUGUAUGAGAAUAUGAGAUUCUACAAGUGGAUGGAUGUAUAUGACUUAUGACUUGUUUUACUUUUUGAAAAAGAAUAUGGAUUUUGAAUAAUUUAGAUUGUAUUGGGUAGUUUGCAUAUGGUAUUUGUGUAGUUUGGAUGUGUACACCAAAUUACUUGUUCUAGAAAAUGAGUGAAAUAUUACGUUUGAAUCUUAAUAAUAUACAAAUGUGAAGCUACAAAUAGGAAAAAAAUUUUGCCCCAAUCCAAUGUGUCAAAAUUCUAAGCCUCCUACAAUAAAUCAUCAUAUUUUAUAAUCUCAUUUUACCAUCACUUAUAGUAAUAGGGACAACAAAACCAUAACAAUUUCAAAUUUACACAAUAAAAAUAACAUCAAAAUUCAUUUUAGUUCAUAAAAAAUUGAAUGUGUUAAUUUCCCUCUAAGAAAUGUCAUUUUCAAGUGUGUUAUUAAGAAAAAAACAAAUGUUCAAUUUGAAAUGAGGCCCAACUAUGCUAAGCCCAGCACUCAAACUCUCCUCAUUUUCAGAAUCAUUCAAUGCAAAGCAACAGAAAGGGAAAGCUUUCCCUGCCAUCACUGUUUUCACGUUGGAAAAUCUCUCUUUCACGUUGGAGUGGACUUGAGAGAUUUGUUUGUUUGUUUGUUUGAUGAAUUUUCCAUAAAUAUACUUAGGCUACUGCAACUAUUCCAUCAAAUUUAGUACUUAUAUUUUCUUCAUUUUUCUUUUGCUUUAUAGCUCUACCUUGCCACCAUUUUGAGAAGAGUAAUCUGAAAUUGAGAAGAGGAAAGUAAAGGUUGACAUUAAUGUGCUUUGUUUUCAACCUCAUUGGCCUUUCUUUACACAAUGUGAGUGGAUAUCUUCCUAUAAACUUUUAAAUUUUAUUUUUCAUUAGAGGCUCUUCCUAUCCUAAGUUUUUAUUGAAUGUUUUUCAUUUUGUAUUUCUCUCUGUUUCAUUGAUUUCAUGAACAGCUCCACUGCGUCGGAGCAAUCGACACCAUCUCUUUGAAACUGUUUCCCCAUCAUCAUGAGUAAGUAUUCAUCCUUCAUAUUUUGUGCUCAAGUUCUUUAUCUGAUUUGUUGUGUUUUUUUCUUAGAAGUUGUGAAGUUGUUUGUUGUAUCAACUAGAAACAUUUAUCAGUUUUGAUAUAAUGUAACUAAAUUUUGUGAUUGAAAAUAGAAAUUGAAAUUCCAUUUGUGCUAAAGUUCUUUAUCUGGUUUGUAAUCUUGGGAUAUAACUACAGAAACAUUUGGAAUUUUUUGAUUUUUUCUUGAUAAUUUGGAUUGAUUUCUUUUGAUUGUUUAUGGAAGUUUUUGUUUGAGCAUGACAUGUGGCUUCUGUCACGAUUUUGGAGCAUCUGCAAGUUAACAUAUAGAUUUAUACUGAGGGCCUCUGUAAAUUGUAAGUCUUUUGAUUACUUUGUGUCUGUUUCGAGUUCUAAUUGUCAAUGUUAUAACUUAUAGGUUCAUUUAUCUAUUGAAGCAUCUUAGGCAUGUUUUGAUGUCCUUGUUUUUUGGCUGUUUCGGUUCUAUGAACUAAGGAAAGAUCCUAUCUGUAGUUCUCAUUAAGCCUUUAUUGCAACUCAUGUGAUGGAUAUGUAUACUUCAUUAUACCUUCGGAGUCACUAGAGCAACUUAAAUAUAGAUAUUUUGUUGUAUCCCUAGAGCAAUUAAAAGUAUCAUCUUGCUUAUUUGCUAUGAUCAAUGAAAUAUAUUAGCAUGAUACGUACAAGUAAUUAGAUACUUUUAGUAGAUCAUCGUCAUUUUUAAACUUAAAAUUAGAUUGAUGGGAUAGAACAAAAUAACUAUUGGUUUGUGGACAAUCAACCCAUGGGGAUCAAUGGAAGGUUACAAAGCUGAAACAGUAUGUAAGGGUGGAUUUGAGUUCACUAUGAUACGAAAUUGCAACUGUUAUGAUGGGGUACAUGAAUAAGAACCGGUUUUCUUACAUGCAACUGCAACUGUUAUUUUUUUUAGUCUGAAUAUGUCCUUUGCAAUCUUUUUUAGUGAAGUCUUAUAUAAAUCGGGACAUUAGAUACACUUUGUUUAUGGUCAAAUAUGUACAGGCAUACUUAAUUUGAUGUUAGGGUUGUGAAAAGAUUUGAUAGACUGUAAUGUUGGCAUUUACUAUUAGUAGGAUGUUUAAUUUAUUUAUUUUGGACAAAAUUAAUGGUUGUAUAAUGUUGGCACUUGCCAAAUAGUUAUUUGUCGAAUAUUUAAGAAUUGAAUUCAACCUAUCAAAUAACAAAUGAUAACACAUUUUCGAUGACUAAGUUUUCUUUUCCAAUCACGUUAAUAAUUAAUAUUCUUUUUAGACAAUUAUUCAUUAUAUUAGUAUAAAAUUAUUUGAGUAAAGUUUUAUCACCCGUGCUGUUUUAUAUCAUGAUACAAAUAAUUCAUGAUAUGGUUGUAUCAGUUCCUAAAUAUCGGAACAAUUUAAUUUUUGAAUUGACUGCACCGUAACUAUAAUUUCAUAGUAUUGAAGCACUUUGAAACACUGCAGUUUUAAAACUAUUGUGCCCAAACAUGUGCAGGAUUGAUGGCUCCUAUCUCCAGUUAGUGAGAAAUUGGUUUUGAAGUUUGUAGGGUUGAUGGUUAGUGAGACUGGAGGAUAUAAAACAACAUGUUUGUACCGAUGGUUGAUGCUUUCAUGUCUUACUUCAAUAGGGGUAGGACAUUACUUUAAUAACCAAGUAUAUGGAUUUAAAUGGAGUUGUAUGGUUCAUAUUAACUACAAAGACUAUGAUUCAAAUCUGGGAGACUAUAUGUAUUAGAUUUAAUAUCAAAGUCUUAUAUUCCUCAAACAUGGGGCUAUAGAUAUUUAAUUUAUGUUUCUAUUGAUAAUGAAGGUACAAUCAUGUUGAUUUUAACAUUUGUAUUCAAUAUAUUGGAUAUAUUUUUAUUCAUUUAAAUUAUUGAUGAAAUAUAUUAUAUAUAUUAAGUUUUAUACAUUAUGCAUUGAGAAUCAACAUUUGCUUAUUACAAUAAGACAAAUUUUUGUGAUGACAACAACAUUUGAUUUGUCUAAGAAGUGCAUUAUAUGUUUUUAUUUUGAUUGUACGUUCAGAGUAAUAUUUUUUUAACGCCACAAUAAAUCCUUUUUCGCCCGUGCGUUGCACGGGUGGAAAUACUAGUAUACAACAGUUGAGUGGAAUAAAAUGAAAUGCAAUUGGUGUGUAUGUACAAUUUUGAUGGUAAGGAUGAAUGGUUAUUUAAUAUGUUGAGGUGAAAGUUUGAAUACGUAAUGUUUUAUUUCUGUUGAUUUUACUUUACAUUUAUUGUUAUAUUUUUAUAUUUGAAUAUAAAUACAAGAUUGACACUUUUAUAUAUAUAUAUAUAUAUAUAUAUAUAUAUAUAUAUAUAUAUAUAUAUAUUAUUUUUGAGAGAAACAUCUAUAUUAUUGUUAAAUUUCACAAAAUAAUUCAUCAAUUUGCUUGCCUGGUUUAACAACAAUCGGAAAUAUUAUUUGCGAGUAUCUAAUAGGUUCAAAUCCAAUUGAUAUCCCUAGUUAAAAAGGAAUUUAGAAGUGAACUUUAGACCAUUUCAAUGAUUACUCUUUUGGCUUUUCUUUGCUUGUAAUGAGAGUAACAUCACCUUUUCUUCAAACUAUUUGAUCUUCACAUAAAGCCUCUACCACCUCCACAUAUAGUAUGUGUUACUGAAUUUAGAAGCAAAUCAUGCUUUAUACACCUUCAUACCAUAGAAGCCCUCGUCAUCGAAAGCGGGAAGAAAUGAAGGGUGUUUGAUGUAGAGUUUUUAUUUUUUAUAAGCUUGGAUGGAUCAACUCCAUUGGUAUGAGUUUGAGCUAGAAGAAUAAAAUCAUUUGCAUAAUUUAGAAAUUAAUCCCAUAAAUUAUAACCACAUACAUAUUUAGCAAAUCAACAUUCUUUUAUCCCUGUUUGCCAAUUUUCUAUAUUUUUUAUUGAAAAAUAAAAGUUUAGGUGAGUUGUGUCUCGGUCUGAAAGCCAUUUACUAAAUAUGUUAUAGUUAAACUAUCCGCCAAAAGGGAAGGUUAUGUUAAAAUUGUAUCUUUGUUUGUUAUAAUUAGAUAGCUUGGAGAACAAGUUACUUUGCAACUCCAUAGAAUCUUACUAUACACUAGCUGCAUCUAAUCUUAAUUCACUAGAAAGUUUGUUAGGAUCUUAAACAGCUAUAUAUAGCUUGCUGUAACCGUUUUCUUCUCAAUUCUAUGAAUCUAGCUUUUAUCUCAAUUUUCUCUCCUUCUUCUUUGUUAAGCUUCUGCAUUUCUUCAACUUUCACCAUGGAUAUGGUGAAGUUUAACAUGGUAUCAGAGCUCUUUUGAGCUCUGCUGCGCAUCGUUCUUCCUUCGUUUCUUCUUCUUCUUCGUUUUACGAUGGUUCGUGGAAACGCCGCCACUAACGGUGGUGCAAAUGGAGGAGCUAUGAUUCCUCCACCUCUUGAUCCUUCGCAACAACCUGGUAACGUGUAUUACGUUCAUUCUUCCGAUGGUCCUUCCUCUGUCAUUGUUACUCCGGUAUUGAACAACUCAAAUUAUCACUCUUGGGCGCGUUCAAUGAGAAGAGCUUUAGGAGGAAAGAACAAGUUUGAUUUUGUGGAUGGAUCAAUUCCAGUUCCUAUGGAAUUUGAUCCAAGUUUCAAAGCAUGGAAUCGUUGUAACAUGCUUGUGCAUUCAUGGAUCAUGAAUUCUGUUGAAGAUUCUAUUGCACAGAGUAUUGUGUUUCUUGAGAACGCCAUGGAUGUAACACCCCGUUUUCCCAAUAUACAAAUUUCUUAAACAUUUAUCAGAGUAAAAACCAUAAACGGGAUAUCACAUAGAAACGUAAUCCAAAAGCAGUUAAAUAAUAAUUUAACUUCCACAUAAUAUCUUAAUAUAGCAGCGGAAUAUUAGUUCAGAAGUCAUAAAUCAAUUUGGCACGCAGGCCCCAACAAAGUAUCUCAAAAGAGUUAAUCAAAACAGAAAUUAUCAUAGCAGUUCACGUAAAAGAAUGAAGCAUGUUAUAGCAUAUAACCCCAUCCCGUUAUGUAUCAGAGCGACCUAGACAACACAGUGAAGGCAAGGCCAACUCACGAAAGCAAACUGCACACUAAGCACGAUCACCUGCAAGUUACCCAUACGAAGGGCAACAUUUUCAAGCAGAAGGGGUGAGAUUUCAUAAUCAAAUAACAUUAAUCAAUGUAAUUGCGAAUCAUAAAUUAACAUCAUAAUCAUUCCUUAAAUAACAUUGCAUAAUUGCUAAACAGUUAUAACAUAAUCAUAUAUCCAAUUAUCAUGAACAACAUAACAUAUUCGAUAACCACUUAUCACAUAAUCACGUAAUCAAUCAUUAUCAACAAGGCAUCUUAAUCAUGACAAUGCGACAAUGCUCUUAGACUCCUUAUAUGCAUGUGGUACCAAUCGUCAUCAUAAGUAUUAAUAUACUUUAAUCGUGCGGAGGACAAAGCUCCUAUAAAACGUGCGGGGGACAAAGCUCCUAAUAUUCGUGGUGAGGACUAAGCUCAAUGAGAUGCUAUGCAUGGACACUUAUGAACAAAACAUCGUAAUCAACAUAUCAACAUGCAUCCAAUAAUUUGGAGCUAACUUCAUCAUAUACUUAUACACUUAGUUAAAUAACGGAAGCAGCAUAAACAGGUCACAUAAACGAGAUGAUAUUAUUAUAUCAAUAGCACAUAAAUUGCAUCAUUAUCAAGCUUUCAUAUCUUGCAUGAAUAUACAAUACAUUAGUUCAUGUCCAAUUAAUAUCAACAUAACUUAAACAACUCUACAGACUGCAUUAAACGUCAUCAUUAGGUCUUAAUGCCAAUUAGGGGUUCGCUCUUGAUCCACACGUGCGACACAGAUCGUACAAACACUCAAACAAACUACAUCCUGGGCUAGCUCGCGAGACGAAAGUUCUCACUCGCCAUGGCGAGUACCACUCAUCUCCCAAACUAAUGUUGUUCUGGGUUCCCUCUGAUCCUACAUUCAUUCCCAAUCAAUACUAGGUAUGUUCAGGCACUCAAAGGCACUCAAGGUCCAACUAAAAAGGUCGGAACACAAAAUCUAACAUGCACUCUGCCUAAGCUCGCGAGGCGAGGAAGGGUUGCUCGCAAUGGCGAGCUGCAUCACACAACUCGCGAGGCGAAGGGCGUUGCUCGCCAUGGCGAGUUGCACCAAAAAACUCGCGAGGCGAAGGGAAAGGGCUCGCGUGGCGAGCGAUGAAGUUCAUCACUCGCGAGGCGAGGAUCAUCCCUCGUCGUGGCGAGCGAUGAAUAGAAGCACGGGCAGACUACGGGUUUUCUCGAAAAUCCAACAAACAACAUGGUUCAAAGCCUAAUUUUGAUUCCAUAAUCCAUCCUAAACAUGUUCUAAGGUUAAAGGACGGUUUCUACAUCAAUCUAAACAAGUUUUACCGUUUGAUCAUCAAUUUUUAGGGUUUUGACCUAAUUUCCAAACUUUUCUAAAUCAAUCCUAACUUUGUCAUUUAAUCAUCAGAAUUACAGCAAUCAACGUUAUUGAAUUAUUAGUCUCACCCUUACCUUGUUUGAAGAAAAUCGCAGCACUCUUCCUUGGUUUCUCUAGACUUGGCUUUUUCUCCCUUUUUCUCCAAAACAGUCGUACGUACAAUGUUUUUCUAAAACUAGGUCUAACCUUUAUAUACCUCUUCUUAAUUACUUAUUUUAUCUCACUUUCUCCCCCAAAACUAUCUAAAAUAUCAAAACAGCCCUCAACUAAAUAUUUUAUAUUAUUUUCAAAUCUUUAUUUUAUUUAACAAUAAAAUAAAUCCCUUAAUCUUAUCAAAUCUUCCAAAACUCAUAACUUAUCACGUCAUCCAUCAAAUCACCAAAAUCAUCGCAAAUCAUCAAAACAUAUCAAAAUCAUGCAUAUAUUAUAUAAAUAUAAUAUAAUCGCCUAAACUCGAUUAAAUAAGCAAUUAACAAAAGUGGGCGUUACAAUGCAUGUUUGGAAUGAACUCAAGGAACGGUUUUCUCAAGGUGAUUACAUUCGUAUUUCUGAAUUACAAUGCGAAAUCUUUGGAUUGAAGCAAGAUUCGCGUUCAGUUUCUGAGUUUUUCACUACAUUGAAGGUUCUAUGGGAAGAACUUGAAGCAUAUCUUCCCACUCCGGUUUGUGCUUGUCCCCAUCGUUGUACGUGUAAUACUGGUGUGCUUAAUGCUAAGCAUCAGCAUGAGAUUACACGCUCUAUCAGAUUCCUCACUGGUCUCAAUGAUCAAUUUGAUCUUGUACGUUCUCAAAUCUUGUUGAUGAACCCUUUACCAACUCUCAACAAGAUUUUUUCAAUGGUAUUGCAGCAUGAAAGACAAUUUAGAGUUUCUAUUCCUGUUGAUGAGUCAAAAAUCCUUAUCAAUUCAGUGAAUAAGUUUCAAGGGCGAGGACGUGGUAAUGGAAGUACUUCUGGUGGUGCAAAGCGUUCUUGUUCCUUUUGUGGACGAAGUAAUCAUACUGUUGAUACUUGCUAUAAGAAGCAUGGUUUCCCUCCAAAUUAUGGUAAGAAUUUUGCUAAUGCUAACAAUUCCUCCCUUGAGAUGCAUGAAGAAAGGGAGGAUCUUGAUGAUUCAAAAAGCUGCAAAGGAAGUGAUUCUUUUAGCAUGACAAAAGAGCAAUAUGAACAUCUGGUUAAUCUUCUUCAAACUCAACAAAGUUCUUCUAGGAGCAAGGUGAACCAUGUCACUAAUCAUGUGACAUCAGGUAUAUCCACACUUUCAUAUGCUCUGAAUCACUGCAGUUUUGGUUCAUGGAUAGUUGAUUCAGGAGCAAGUGAUCAUAUAUGCUCAUCUAUUAAAGCUUUUGAUUCCUAUCAAUCUAUUAAACCUGUUCAUAUUAAGUUACCAAAUGGUAACAUAACUAUAGCAAAAAUCUCUGGCACAGUGCAAUUCUCUUCAGGACUUGUUGCCAAAAAUGUGUUAUAUGUUGCAGACUUCAAAUUAAAUCUUUUGACUGUACCCAAACUAUGUGUUGAUGAUGAUUGCAUAGUAACUUUUGAUAAUGAUAAAUGUUUAAUACAGGAAAGGAGGAACUUGAAGAUGACUGGUUUGGCUGAUUUGAUAGAGGGAUUGUAUUUUCUGACCACUCAAGCUUCCCCAUCAACCAAACCUCAAUUUGUCAUAGCUUCUAUCAACUCUCAAAGUUCUUCUUUUCUACCUCAAGAAGCCUUAUGGCAUUUUAGAUUAGGUCAUUUGUCCAAUCAUAGAAUGCUUAGCUUAAAACAGUCUUUUCCUUGUAUUAAGAUUGAUGACAAUUCAGUUUGUGAUAUAUGUCAUUACUCUAGACAUAAGAAAGUACCUUUUCAUCUCAGUGUAAAUAAAGCAAACAAAUGCUAUGAAAUGUUUCAUUUUGAUAUAUGGGGUCUUGUUUCUAUUCCUUCUAUUCAUGGUCACAAAUAUUUCAUUACUGCUCUUGAUGAUCACAGUCGUUUUACUUGGAUCAUCCUAUGUAAAUCAAAAUUUGAAGUUCAAAAACAUGUUCAAAAUUUCAUUAUCAUGAUAGAAAAUUAGUUUAGUUGUCAUGUUAAAACUGUUAGGACGGAUAAUGGUCCUGAAUUUCUUAUGUCAGAAUUCUAUUCUUCUAAAGGCAUUGAGCAUCAAACAAGUUGUGUUGAGACUCCCCAACAAAAUGGGAGAGUAGAAAGAAAACAUCAACACAUCUUGAAUGUAGCUAGAGCUUUACUUUUCCAAUCAAAAUUACCUAAACAGUUCUGGUCUUAUUCAGUUUUGCAUGCAGUUUACAUAAUCAAUAGAAUUCCUACUCCUCUGCUGCAAAACAAAUCCCCUUAUUUUCUCAGAUUUGGUAAUAAUUGUGAUUUAAAUGAUUUCAAAGUCUUUGGUUGUCUUUGUUAUGCCUCUACCUUACAUAAUCAUAGAACAAAAUUUGACUCUAGAGCCAAAAAGUCUCUUUUCUUAGGAUACAAGCAAGGUGUUAAAGGAGCUAUUCUUUUUGAUCUUGACACCAAAAUCAUUUUUGUGUCCAGACAUGUAACCUAUCAUGAACAUAUUCUUCCUUACUCUAAUUCAAAUCAACCUUUUCAAUGGCAGUACCAUUCAAAUCAACCUAUAUCUUCUGCCAUUGAACCUAUCACCAAUCUCAACACUAAUCAAAAUGAAUCCACUGUAACCAAAGCCAUUAACCCUGAAGAUUCUGAAACUGAGAUAUCUUCCAACAUUGAACUUGAUGAUCACAUUCAACCACAUUCACAAACUUUACCUGAACCAGAUUAUUUAUCUCUUAGAAAAUCAACCAGAAUUAUACAAAAACCAACCUAUCUGUCAGACUAUGUAUGCAAUCUCUCUAAAGAAUCAGACAAUUCAUCAUCUUCAGGUAUACUUUAUCCUAUCACUCAUUUUCAUUCACUCAAUAGUUUAUCCCCAAACAUCAGAAGUUUGCUCUAGCUGUUACUAAUGCUGCUGAACCUACAAGUUACAAUGAAGCAAGCAAGCAAGAGUGUUGGGUUAAGGCUAUGGAAUCUGAACUUGAUGCUUUGAAACACAAUAAAACUUGGAUUUUUGUGGAUUCACCACCCAAUGUCAAACCUAUUGGUAGUAAAUGGGUGUAUAAAAUCAAACAUAAGGCAGAUGGGAGCAUAGAGAGGUACAUGGCCAGACUGGUGGCUAAAGGCUAUAAUCAAGUUGAAGGCAUUGAUUUUUUUGACACUUUUUCACCAGUAGCCAAAAUUACUACUGUCAGAACUCUCCUUGCCUUAGCAUCAAUCAACUCAUGGCAUCUACACCAAUUAGAUGUGAACAAUGCUUUUCUCCAUGGAGAUUUAUCUGAAGACGUUUACAUGACUAUUCCUCAAGGUGUUGUCAACAUAAAACCAAAUCAAGUGUGUAAAUUGUUGAAGUCUCUUUAUGGUUUAAAGCAAGCCAGCAGAAAAUGGUAUGAAAAAUUGACUAGUUUCUUAAUCAGUCAAGGUUACAAACAGUCUGCUUCUGAUCAUUCCCUCUUCACUCUUCAUUCAGAUCCCAUGUUCACUGCUCUUCUUGUGUAUGUGGAUGAUGUCAUUUUAGCAGGGAAUUCAAUGGAUGAGAUCAAUAAAAUCAAGGUUACCCUUGAUGCAGAAUUUAAAAUCAAGGAUCUUGGUCAACUUAAAUAUUUCCUUGGCAUAGAGGUGGCACAUUCUAAACUUGGAAUUAGUAUAUGCCAAAGAAAAUAUUGUCUUGAUCUUCUUCAUGAUACAGGCUUACUUGGUUCAAAGCCAGUUUCAACACCACUUGAUCCAUCUAUAAAGCUACACCAAGAUACUUCAAAAGCUUUUGAUGAUAUUUUUAGCUAUAGAAGACUUGUGGGAAAACUCUUGUAUCUCACCACAACCAGACCAGACAUAGCUUUUGUAACUCAACAACUAAGUCAAUUUCUAUCAACUCCAACCAUUACUCAUUAUGAAGCAGCUUGCAGAGUUGUCAAGUAUCUUAAAGGCACUCAUGGUCAAGGUUUAUUAUUCAGAAGAGAUUCAAUUUUACAGAUACUUGGAUUUACAGAUGCAGAUUGGGCUGGAUGUCCUGAUACUAGAAGAUCCACUUCUGGUUAUUGUUUCUUCCUUGGAUCUUCCCUCAUUUCAUGGAGAGCUAAGAAGCAGCAUACAGUUUCCAGAAGUUCAUCUGAAGCUGAAUACAGAGCACUUUCUUUUGCUAGUUGUGAAUUACAAUGGCUUCAUUAUUUGUUGAAAGAUUUGGGAGUGUCAUGCAUCAAGUCACCUGUAUUGUACUGUGAUAAUCAGAGUGCAAUACAUAUUGCUGGGAAUCCUGUGUUUCAUGAGAGAACAAAACACUUGGAGAUAGAUUGCCAUUUUGUUAGAGAAAGAUUACAGCAGGGUCUUUUCAAGUUGCUUCCUAUCAAGUCUCAAUCACAACUUGCAGAUUUCUUUACUAAGCCUUUGCCACCUAAGAACUUUCAUUCUUUCAUUUCCAAGCUCAACAUGUUGGACUUAUACCAUGCUAAGCUUGGAGGGAGGGUGUUAAAAUUGUAUCUUUGUUUGUUAUAAUUAGAUAGCUUGGAGAACAAGUUACUUUGCAACUCCAUAGAAUCUUACUAUACACUAGCUGCAUCUGAUCUUAAUUCACUAGAAAGUUUGUUAGGAUCUUAAACAGCUAUAUAUAGCUUGGCUGUAACCGUUUUCUUCUCAAUUCUAUGAAUCUAGCUUUUAUCUCAAUUUUCUCUCUUUCUUCUUUGGUAAGCUUCUGCAUUUCUUCACUUCACCAUGGAAAAUAGGGUGAAGUUUAACAGGUUACACAACGAACAUCCCUCAAAAGGGAGUUAGAGAUAAAAGCAGGAAUUAAAUUAAAAAUUCCACAAGUAACAUAUGAAGAAAACCCCGACUUGGCUACACUAUCCGCCACAAGAUUGACCUCUAUCUCAAAACAUAAGUGAUUUUGACAUAAUCAUAACCGAUACCGAAAGCAAUGCUAUAGAUAAUGAGUAUUGCUAGCAAAACUCAAAAACUCACUUCAUUAUUGGUUCAAAUUAAGGUGGGGCUCACACAUUCGAAAUGGGUUUCACUUAAAGUGUGGGAUAUACACUAGUUUCAUCCAAUAAAAGAAUGAAUGUUAAAGAGAGUAUCCCAAGCAUUACUCAUAAAACAAUUAACUCCGAACCAUACCCAUCCCUAGUAAGCAUAAUUUCAAACCAAGGUUUCAACCGACGGUAAUUAAUUUCUUUUUUUUUUUUAACAAAGAGAAGAAAAUAACGUAAUUAAUUGUUGUUUGUUGGGUCUUUUUUUUUCUUCUUUCUUCCAGGUGCUAUAAUAGUAUAGAGCAAUUAAUUGUCUUAUCUUUGUUAGCUUCAAAACUCCACAAGUAAUAAGGGUAAAUAAGUAAUUACAUAGUAACCCUAUGUUAUCUUUCAAUUUCAAACAAUCUCUUCCACUUCAGUCUUCUUCUUCUUCUCUCACGAUCACAACCACCACAGUCACAAAGCAUUCAGCUUUGUUUUCUGUCAUCAUCACCGAUUCUUCCUCUCAAUAAACAACUAGGGUUCCAUCUUUUCCUCCUCUACUUAAUCCGCUGUGAGCAUUCUGGCUUUUCCUACUCUUUCAUAUUCGCGCACAUAACAUGUUUGUGAAAUGUCCUCUGUGGAUUCUCUGUUUAGAAUAACCCUGCAAGCUCAAAUUUUAACUAUCCUUAUGUUUUUAUGUAAUUAGAUGUUGGAAUAAUAUAUCAUAGUACUACCCUUUGAUGCUCAGUUUUAGAAUCUCUUGCUGAUAACUCUUUUUUCAACCAAUUGAUUGAAAUUCAAAAAACAUUGAAUAAAAGGAACUGCAAGCAAACAUGAAAGCAAAGUCCAACAACAAGUAUUCGAAAUGUGGUGCUAUAAAAUAUCUUUUGUUUGCAAUAAACGACGACUGCAAACUCGGCAUAUACAUUGGACACAAUAAUGAGUUGGUAAGGUAUUUGGAGGAUGGUCGUGAAGAUGAUGUACCUACAUUUACACAAACAAAUAUCAUACUGUUUACCGCGUAGAUUGAGAUAUAUUGGUUAUUAUUGUAUCCAACGUAUCUGUCUCGUCAACGUUUAGUACUGGAGGUCGAGUCCUUUACUCGUUUGGUAGUUAAUUAAAUCUCUACUGUUGAAGCUUUGAUUGCACCCCAAAUUGGAUCAAAUCUCUCAAGGUCAUUGAUUUAGAACUGGUUGAAGUGGGAAAGAUCGAGUAAAGUGUGGAUUCUUUGUUUUAAUUUUCAAAUCUUUUUGAUUAUAUUAUUAAAAUCAAAUUGUUUGUGUUUAAAUUUUAAGGUAUUUGUGAGUGUUGUAUUUAUUUCUUUGUGUUGCUGUCGUCGUCGUUGUGCUUAUUUAAAUUUUUAAUCUUAUUAUGUUUGGUAGUGUUAGGAUUGGAUUCGCUACUGCCUUUUGCAUUUGCAUUUUGUUGGUGUGCUGCUACUAGAUUUGUUGCUACAUGCUGUACCUACUGCUUUUGUUGCUACUUAAGUCUUAAUUUGUAUUUUGAUGUUGUUGCUACUGUUUUUGCAUUCAAUUUACAAUUAAAUCAUGUAAAAUUUUGGAUUUGCAUUCUGUUUGUUCGAGAUUUGCAUUAUAUUUGCUGAUUGCUUGCUAUCAUUUACAACUUCUAGAUUUUUGUGGAAAUUAUGUGUUUUAUGAAGAUUGGUACUAUUAUUAAGUUGGCUGAGCCUUCAAACGAGAAUCAUGAACGAGAGCUUCUUCGUCUUCUUCUAGCAUCAUAGCAAUGGAAAUCGGAAUUGAUUAUUGGAUAACGGUGAAACGGUUCGAAGAACGGUUAUGGAAAAUUGAACGGUAAUAGAGUAAUAGAGAGAACAUGGUUAUGCAGCACUCAAGUGAGGGGGUCUCAAAGUUACCUAUGGUUAUGGAGAAUUGUACGGAUCGAACUUUUCCAUUUUUUUUUCAUUUAUUUAAUUACUAUGAUGUAUAUGUGGCUUUUUCAUGGGUGCCUCAAAGUUGCAUAAGGGAGUAAAGUUAGAGGGUUGGAAAGUGGGUUUUUUUAAUAGGGGAUCAAAAUCGCAACUAUUGCAAGUUAUUUUAUUUUAGGAACAAAUAUUUGAAAGAUGGAGUCUUGGAGCAAAAGAAAGGAGAAUUUGAGCUAAUUCGUGCCAAAAAUAUGAAGAUCUGAUACAAAAAUAUCUUGUGCAAAUAAUUUGAAGAUCUUGUGCAAAAAUAUAACAAGUGGCGGGCCCCUUUUACCCUUUUGCUGCUUUUGCUUCUUCGACAAAGCUGCCUAUUUUAGUAUUUCAGACCUAGAGCCUAUGGUUUCUUGUGCAACACUUUAGUGAUUUAAUUCUUAGGGCUCAAGUCAAUGUUAGACUAUAAAUAGAUCAGUCCCCUAGUUUGUAAAACCAUCUUUUGUUCUUGAAAUAAUAAGUGACAAUUGUUUUCAAUAAAAAGAUCAACCUUUAUUUUAUGUUCUUCUUCUUCUUCUUCUCUUCUAUGUCUACAAUGAACGUGAGUGAGUAGACUCUUCUUGUCUUGGGAUUGUUGGAUAAGUCUAAUGACGUAAUCCUAAUCAAACCAAACCAUAAACCCUAAUUUUAUAUAAAUCCACUUUCUAAUCUAAUUUCACCGUUUUGAUAAUGAAUUAACAAAUACCAAACUCAUAAAGCGAACGCGGAGGGAUAGUAUUUGUUAAUUCAUCAUCACAAAUAUCAAUUCAUAAAAGCGAACACGGAGCUUUGAUAUUGGAACAAGUGAAAUUAGACAAGGAUUGCGAAAUAUGAGAAUAGUCUAGCAAACCUUGAGAAACAUAAAGUUUUGUUCUUCAAGGAUUCUAAUAACAAUCAACCAUGAGAAUAGGCGUGGUUGCUAGAGGAACACACUCAAUGAUUUUGAGAGAAACUUUGAUACGCUUAAGAGAAACUUGUCUUUAGAAAGUAGGUCCAAUAUAAAGUUUAGGUUUAGGGUUUGUUUGUGAAGGAAUUGUCACUAUGACGAACCAAUAAUCCCAAGGCGCUAUUAUUUUAUUAUUAUUAUUUUCUUUUAAUUAAACAAAAAUACAACUUUCUACCUUCUAAACUUUCAAUCUAAUCAUUGUUAAAAGUUAAUUGAAUUCAUAACUCCCUGUCGGAACGAUACUCUUUUUAUUACUUCGAUAGAACCGUGCACUUGCGGUUUUACUCAUCACCCCUGAAGUUGAGGAACACUUGGUAUGUGAGUCCAUAGGAAAAGGAUGAGGUAGAGGAAGGUGAUUGAAUAACCAUAUAUAACAACUACGCAGAAAUGGAAAUAAGAAUAUAGUUCAAGAAUGAAGAAUAUAUUAAUUUGUAAAGAUUUGGCACACUUGUCUAAUCCGCACAUCUGAACCAAUAAAAGGUUUAGAAGGUUGUUCAGAAGUUUCAUCAGAACAAACCCAUAAAUCAUUGUGCAUAUCAAGAACAUGCAAGAACAUACAUGAUAUGAACAUAUCAUAUGCAAAAAAGGAUUUCAACUCUAUGGUAAUUAAAUGAUUAAUGGACUUUGAUGUUCUUGGUAUUUAACAUAUGUUCUUAAGUGAUUAACCAAAACAGGAACAAAGUAUAAAUCAAACCAAGAUUCAAGUGAUCAAAGAACAUUAAAGCUUAUGAACCCAAUAAUAGUUCAGAAGGUUAGUUAGAGUUUAGAAGGUUCGAAGAUAUUUCAGAAGGUUGUUCUAAAGGUUUAUCAAGAAUAAGCCCAUAAAUAAAUUAACAUUAUCAAGAACAUACAAGGCUCACAUGGCAUAAAAGAAAGUGCAUAAAAGUACUAUGACUUUAGAUCAAUCAAGGAUUAAAUGCAUUAAUUUGGAUAAAAUUUAAAAGGAAUAUUAUUCUAAGAAAAAUUAGGAAUAUUCUUCUAAGAAAAUCAUCAUAGAUGUUAUGCAUAGUGCACCUCAUUGAUGCCCUUCAUUCAAGUUCACUAUUAAUAUUUGAUAGCAUCAGAUGAAGAUCAUUAAGAUGAUCACAAAUAUUCUGAAGUUCAAAAGGUCGUUCAGCUACAUGUUUUAUCUGACAGAAAGGUACAAUAGGUGAAAAAGCAAAAAGCAAAAGCAAAAUGCAAGAUCAAUUCAGAUUCAAUUAUAAUUAGACACAUAAGGGAGCAUAUACGUUCAGUAAAAAUGAUUACACAAAUCAACUCUAAAUAUUCCUAAAAUCUUAAAGAGUGUGUAACAUUUCUCUCUUAUCUUUUCAAUGAUAAUCUUCUUCUUCUUUCAAACCUCCAAACCAUUGUAAGAGAAAAUCUCAUCUAGUUUUAAGGGUAUUAAAAUGUUAGUUGAGUAAAAGAAAAGAGUAGAGUCUUGUCUGACUUAGAAAGAAAAGUUGUAAGCCUAUUGAGGCUAGAUAAUACAGUUUUUGCAUGCUAAGGCUAGAUAAUACACUUUGUAAGCCUGCUGAGGCUAAGAUAAUACAGAAGGUAAAGUCCCUAGUGGUAGAAAGUGUAAGGUGCAUGAGUUGAGAAGGUUGUCUCAAGGAUCAUAGUGAACAUCUCACAGUUGUGAGGAGUGGAAUAACCCACAUUAGAUGAACCACUAUAAUUCUCGUGUGUUAUAUUCUUUACCAUUACUCUUUAUUUUUAACAUUAAUAUUUACAUUCACUUUACACACCAUUAUCCCUUUAUUUAUUGUUUAUUACACUCACACUUCUGCAUGUACUUCAGAACAUUCUGAACUUGACCUAGUUUUUAUUUAUUUCAAGUAUCUACUUGAGAAUCACUUACCACAAGUGCAAGUUAAAUUUAAAAAGGGUCAUAAUUAAACCCCCCUUAUUUUGAAUAUUAUUUCCACUUCAAAGAAAACAGAUUACAUAAUGCUAUUGUUGUUCUUGAGAAGAGAAUAAAACAAAUCAGAGAGAAAAGGACGAAGAGAAGAGGAAGGUGGCGUUGUUGUUGUGCCUGUGUUUUUUUUUUUAAUGAAUUUGUAGGUUUUUUUUUAAUAAAUUUUUUGGAUUUGUGAUAAACACCAUGAACUUAUAAGUUAAAGAAGAUGAAGAUGAUGCUGAACAUAUAUCCUAGACAAAAAAAAAAAUAAAAAAAAUAAAAAAAGAAAUUAUACAAUCACAAUGCCACAUAAUAAAAAAUGCUGACUCAGCGCGCCGCAUCACUUUAGUUACCUAGUUAGAUGAGGCCAUGGUCGAUUUAUGAAGAAUCUUGAUUUUACAAUGAUGAAAUCUACUUUUUUACUACAUGAGGUAAACUGGAAAUGACUUAUAUUACAGGGGAUAAAACACUCUUAACCCUAGAAUAUAACAUGGAAGAGUUAAAUUCUUCAAUUUAUAAAAAAUAAAAUGACAUUAGAAGUUUAAAAAGUCAAAAUUUAGAGUUGGUUAUAUUAAAGCAACAAAGAAACUCAAAUGCACAAAUAAUAUUAUAGUGUCAUAUUAAUGUACAAGAGAAAUCCAUAAAUUUCACUCACAAUACAUUAAUGAGCAAAGACGGAGUACCAUGAGUAUUGUAUGCAUACCCAGUACGUGUACUUUAACGUUUUACAAUUACUUAUACUUCAAAGUAUAUUCUGUUUAACUAAUAAAUUGUACACUUACUUGAUUUUCCUCGUAAACAUUACCAUUUAAAACAUGAGGGAAAUUGGAAAUGANNNNNNNNNNNNNNNNNNNNNNNNNNNNNNNNNNNNNNNNNNNNNNNNNNNNNNNNNNNNNNNNNNNNNNNNNNNNNNNNNNNNNNNNNNNNNNNNNNNNUCCCCUCCCCUCCCCUCUCAUCCGCUUCUAAAAAUUGAACCAAACACUUCAAAUUAAAAAUCUUCCCUCCCCUCCAAAACUCUCGAACCAAAUGAACCCUAAAGUGAUCGACUUAUAAUUUGAAACAGAGGAGUAAUACUUAUGGAUCGGAGUAAAGAGUGCAGUGAGUGAAUUGAUGUAAAAUUUAGUUUUUUUCAUGCUAUAAUAUCUAUAAUGACUAUCGGGGUGCUAUUGUUAUUGACAAACUAGUUUACAAUGAAAACAAAUAUUACAAUGGAAACAAAUAUUACAAUGUUUGUGUAAUACACAAAAUUAUCAACCUAUUCGUCCUUCCUCAUGAUGCCCCUAAAGUCAACCUUCAUCCAGUAGAACUACAAUUUGAAGCUUACUGUUUGAUUUUUGAGUUACUGAUUCACAUUUAAUUUCCAUGAUAUUAUUGACGAUUGGUCAAACAUAAAAUAAAACUACAUUUUAAUUGACUUGUUUUAUUUAUUUAUUUAAGUUUUCUCGUUGUUUUAUUGUUUGAAUGGUAACCACAUUUAAGAUAUCAGCAAGAAGAGGUGGUAGUGCAACGAUAUCUACUCUGUGAUUGGUCCACACGCUAUAGGAUGUUGCAAGGAAGUUUCACUUACUACUUUUGUCAUUAGUUUUCUCCUUGUUUUAAAGAAUCCACCUAACAGACCACACAAAUUACUCAUUCAUAUUCUCCAUUUUCAAAGUCUUUUUUCAUCCAUAUUCUUUCAAUUCUCAUGGCUAUGCAAUCACCUUCCCGAGUGUUCCUCAGUUUCAGGGGCAGUGACACUCGCAACAAAUUUACCGGUAAUCUCUAUAAGGCUCUUGUUGACAAGGGAAUUCGUACUUUCAUUGAUGAUAAUGAUCUUGAAAGAGGAGAUGAAAUCACACCAUCACUUGUCAAGGCCAUUGAAGAAUCUAGGAUUUUUAUUCCCAUAUUUUCUGCCAACUAUGCAUCUUCUUCAUUUUGUUUGGACGAACUUGUCCACAUCAUUCACUGCUACAAGACAAAGAGUUGCUUAGUAUUUCCCGUUUUCUAUGAUGUGGAACCUACUCACAUACGAAAUCAGAGUGGGAUUUAUGGUGAGCAUCUUACUAAGCAUGAAGAGAGGUUUCAAAAUAACGAGAAAAACAUGGAGCGAUUGCGUCAAUGGAAGAUAGCUCUUAUCCAAGCUGCUAACUUGUCCGGCUAUCAUUAUAGUCCUCAUGGGUACCCCACUUUACUUAAAACUUGUUUUUCCUUUCUAUAUUUUAUUUCAUUAAUUUUUAUGCCUAAAUAAUCUACUCUCAAAGCUUAAAUAGGAACACAUUUUCUAUUAAUGUUUUUAAAACAAGUGUAAGUUAUUUAUAUGUCAAAAAAGUUAGAAUUGCAUAAUAUAUUCUCAAUACAUGGAUGUGAUUUUGAUUUUAGUGUAUUUUCUAAUUUAUCUUAUUGGACAUGAAUAGAUAUGAAUACAAGUUUAUUGAGAAGAUAGUCGAAGACAUCUCCAACAAUAUCAAUCAUGUUUUUUUAAAUGUAGCCAAAUACCCUGUUGGAUUACAGUCCCGAAUAGAAGAAGUGAAAUUGCUUCUUGACAUGGGCUCUGAGGAUGAGGUCCGCAUGGUAGGACUUUUUGGUACUGGAGGCAUGGGUAAAUCAACACUUGCAAAAGCAGUUUAUAAUUUUGUUGCUGAUCAAUUUGAAGGUGUAUGUUUUCUUCAUAAUGUCAGAGAGAAUUCAAGUCAUAAUAACCUGAAACAUCUCCAGGAAGAUCUCCUUUUAAGAACAGUUAAAUUGAACCAUAAGUUAGGAGAUGUUAGUGAGGGAAUUUCAAUCAUUAAGGAAAGACUAUCUAGAAAGAAGAUUCUUUUGAUUCUUGAUGAUGUUGACAAACUGGAGCAGCUAGAGGCUUUGGCUGGAGGACUUGAUUGGUUCGGUCAUGGAAGCAGGGUCAUCAUUACCACUCGUGAUAAACACUUACUAGCCUGUCAUGGGAUUACAAGUACACAUGCAGUAGAAGAAUUGAAUGAGACAGAAGCUCUUGAAUUGUUGAGGCGAAUGGCUUUUAAAAAUGACAAAGUUCCUUCAAGUUAUGAAGAAAUUUUAAACCGUGUAGUUACUUAUGCAUCUGGCCUGCCCUUAGCAAUAGUAACAAUAGGGGGCAAUUUGUUUGGAAGGAAGGUAGAAGAUUGGGAGCGUACAUUAGACGAGUAUGAAAAUAUUCCCGAUAAAGAUAUCCAAAGGAUACUUCAAGUAAGCUAUGAUGCUUUGAAGGAAAAGGAUCAGAGUGUCUUUCUAGACAUUGCUUGUUGCUUCAAAGGGUGUGAAUGGACAAAGGUUAAAAAAAUACUUCAUGCUCAUUAUGGCCAUUGCAUAGAACAUCAUGUUGGAGUGUUGGCUGAAAAAUCUCUCAUAGGCCAUUGGGAAUAUGACACUUAUGUGACCUUACAUGACUUGAUAGAGGACAUGGGUAAAGAAAUCGUCCGACAAGAAUCUCCCAACAAGCCUGGAGAACGCAGUAGGUUGUGGUUUCCCGAUGAUAUAGUUAACGUUUUAAGAGAUAAUACAGUAAGGAAAACUAAUAUUUAUGAACAAUUUGUUGUUUUAGCUUUAGCCAUGACUUUGAUCAUCCUGCCACCUCAUACUUGUGUUUUUUAUUCACUUAAUUACAUGUAUAUUACUCUAUAUAAUAUUUGUAUUAUGAUUUAUUCUUUUUUUAUUUUGU